rnacentral:lncRNA from 1 species
GUUUGAUGUCAUAUGUAGUAUUGCUCGCUUAUUUUCUUCUUCUCUUUUUUCUAUAGAAAAGUCGGAUGCUAUUUGAGCAACUUGAACUUGAUCCGAAAACAGAGCAAACAGAGGAGCUUACAACGCCCAAGCAGAGGGAACAUCACAACAUCGACUUUAUUAUUGGGCAAAUGAAGGGAAUUUUUCUCUACACGACGACGCACACGCACCGCAUGCCGAUCGGACCCGUCGUGCACGCACGCAUUAUUGCCUUAUUAUUAUUGAGAUCAUGGCAAGCAUAUGCACCGGCAGAACACCCACAGUAGCUAGUAGCUAGUAUCCGGUGCAAGCAAGCAAGCAAGCAGAGAUGGAGGUCCUCAGAUGGAGAUGCUGUUGGGGAUGCCCCUGGCCGUGAGCCCCUCGGCCUGGCCCGUGUGGUCGGAGGUGUUGGGGUAGAGCAGCAUGUAGGGGAACUUGGCCGGCCCGGUGCGGUUCUUGAGCCGCGGGUCCCCGUUCAUGGCCACCACCUGCUUCUCGAUGCCCUCCAGCCUCGCCCCGAACCGCCUGAACGCCUCCUGCGCCUUGGCGUCCGACGUCCACGCCGGCGUGUCGUGCUGCCCCAGGUACACCUCGUCGGAGGAGUGCUUGGACAGGAUCUCCAUCAGCGAGAUGCCCACCAGCGCCUGGAACUGGUUGGUGAUGGUGAGGAUGAAUGCCUUCUCCGGGGCGCGCUCCAGCAGGGCGUACUCCUCGCUGCCCGGCGACGGCAUCGGCCGCCGGCUCGCCGACGGCUUGUUGGGGUGGUACCCCGAGUAGGGGUACUGCCCGAAGUUGACGGCCGCGUGCAGCGCCGACCCCGUCCAGAUGAUGGUGGCGCAGGCCUUGAUCAGCUCCGCCACGGUGUGCAUCUUGGGCCACCACGCCGCGUCCUUGAGGUCGCCGUGCCCGACCUCCCGCACCUCCUUCCACCACGCCUGCAGCUCCACGUCGCCCUGCAGCACGCCGUCGUUCGGGUAGUAGAUGGUCAGGUAGUCUGUCACCCACUGCUCGAUCGCGUGCCAGACCGCCAGCCCGUCCGCCGCGUACGGGUAGUCCUCGAUCAGCAGCCGCACCUUGUGCGGGCUCGAUGGGUCCUCCACCGCCAUGCCCCUGCAUCAUCAAGAUCGGUUAAUCAUUACUACUCCAGUCACCGACGAUGGAGUACCACGUACGGUCCACGUCAUUUGUGAUUGCCUGAUCGAUUUGUCUGUUUUGUCAGUAUUAAUUCUGCCCACCUCUUGAUUAGGUCGUCGGGCAGAGCUUGUUCGGUGAAGUUCCAGUUCUUGUAGACCAUGGAGGACAUGGGCAUGGCGUGCUUGCGCGGGAACACGGUCAUCUCGAUGACGCCGCCGGCGUUGAUGAGCAGCCCCCGCGCCCGCGCGUUGAUGUUCAUGGUGUCGCGGUAGUGCGGGUGCAGGAGCUUGUACACCGGGUGGGUCACGCUGAGCUGCCUGUUGGUGGCGAUGACGAAGGGCUCCAUCACCGCGUGCGUGUUGAGCCAGUGGCUGAUCAGCUGGUGCCAGCCGUAGUCGUUCACGGAGGCGUAGGCCUUGGCGAGCUGCCAUAUCCAGCCCUCCACGCCGGCGUGCUGCGGCGUGUACACGGUGCUCUUCGCCGUGGUCAGGUCGCCCUGGAUCAGCGGCGAGCUCAGCUCGAUGGCGACCGGCGCCAGCGUGCCGUUCCCUUGCAGGAAGAGCAGGGUCCUGGUCGCGUACACGAAGCUGCCGUCGAGGUUGUUGAUGUCGACCAGGAACGGCAUCAGGUUGUCGUGCUGAUCCACGAUGUAGAGCCUGUUGUCGGCGAGCGCCUGCUCCACGGUGAGGCCCUCGAGGCUCCUACCGAUGUGCGCCUCCGUGAUGGUGCUGGUGUGGUCGCCGUACUUGCUCGGAUCCAGUGUACUUUUGGGAGGGAACUCCUGCACGCAGUCAAAUAAUGGUACGUACGACCAGUGAGCAAGGUGUACUUUUGAAUAGUACUUGAAGUUGCUCAAUGGUGGGUAGAUGGAGUGGGUGACUCACCGUGAGGCGCUUGAUCAUCAUGGGGUUGACGCCGGCGAGCAUCUCCCUGGCGAACUCCUCGUCUGUCAUCCAUGCCUUCUCGUCCGCUUUGAUGAUCUGCGGCUUGGGGAGCUUGAGGAGGAAGUCGCCGCCCAUGGGGAUGAGGUCCUUGACGAGCUGGAGCGGGAAGCGCUUGCGCACCUCCUCGAGGGCGGGGAUGUUGGGCAGCUUGAUGCCGCCCUCGUAGAGCUUGAGGAUGUCGGCGAAAGAGUCGAACUCGCCGGGGGAGAGGUCGACGUAGGUGCGGAUGGCUGGCACGAUGCCGUCCACCAGCGCCUUGAGCGUGUAGCCCAGGAAGUCGGACUGCUUGAGGUGGCCGAAGAGCUCGUCGCGCGGCACGUACACGUUCCCCACCAGCGGCAGCAGCCGGCUCUCGUGGUCGGGCUCUGCGCCAGCCAUAUAUAGAUGCGGGUCAGACCAAGCACACGACGUUGAUUAUAUCACGGGGAGAUUAGAUCGGAAGGAAGGAGACGCACUGGUGGCCGAGGGCUUCCGGCCGGUGCGGCAGCGGCGCGGGUAGGGGAGGUCCUUGGAGCCGCCGAGGACGUCGCGGGUGUCGCCGAGGUCGUUGUAGACGUCGUAGCGGUAGACGCGGUCGUGGUCCUCGUAGGGCCCCUGCUGGUCGUCGCCCCUCAGGUUCCGGAGCUCGUCGUCGCGGUACGGCUUCAGCGCCGCCGGCAUCUGGUGCGGCAGGUACGUCUGCACUCCCCAACGGACACGGCCAGUUAGAGAAUGAGCAAGGAAAAUCCAUCGGAUCAUGGAUACUACUCAGAAAUACUCACGUCGUUGGCGAAGAAGACGCGGUUGUAGCGGUACUUGGCCUGCGGGUAGACCCAGGAGUUGGCGACGAAGACGACGGUGCCGCGGCCGGGCACGUUGUCGAGGGUGAUGGUCUUGAGGAAGAACUCGGCGGCGUGGUUGUUCUUGACGAUGAUGGCGCCCGGCACGCCCAGCUUGUCCACCGACCAGUCGAAGGUGACGGCGAACUUGUUCUCGCCCGUGGUGAUGAAGGGCAGGUUCGUCGGCAGCAGCCACUGCUCCAGGUUCGCCUCCGCGCCCACCUUCCCGCGGCCCCCGUUGUCUGCAUCACGACGUGCAUGGUUAAGUUAAAAAUUGCUAAAUGCGUGCGUCAUGGUCACAUUACGACACACUCUCGAGUUUUGCUUCAUCUCAAGAGGACUGUGUAGUCCGUUUUUGCACGUGUCUCUCUCAAGGUCAAGGUCAAGCAUACAAACACGGUGAUGGCGCAUGCCAUUUUUUUUACUGUUGAUGAUGAUGUUCCUCCAUCUUUUUACUCAUUUCGUUCGUGUGACCCGCCCUUUUUAUAGAGUACGAACGAACUACAAAUUGCACGGUGGGAAGAUCAGUGGAUGGAUCGAGUGGCGAGUGCUCACUGUGGUCGACGUGGGUGGAGCUGAUGAGCUGGCAGGUGACGCCGCGGCCGAGGAGCUCGGUGACGCCGUCCAUGACGGUGGCGCCGAAGUCGUUGAAGUCGAGCGCGUUCUUGCGCAUGAGGACGACGGACCCCUUGAGGUGAGGGCCGCGGAGGCCCCCCGUGAGGUCGCUCACGAUGCCGCCCACGCCGAACAUCUUCGGUCGAUCUACGGGGGCACUCUGGGGCUGACUGCGGCACGCUUGCUUAGCUUGCUGUGGUGCUGGUGUGUGAGAGCUCCGAGAGCAACCGGUAGGCUAUUUAUAGAUGCUGCGCGAGAGGGAGGGUGUGACUGAGCACCGUGGACGUUGGAUUCCGGACGGGGUCUACAGUGGCCGUUCGAUUUGAUAAUUCAGGGAAUCAAGAUAAGAUCUCAGUGUGUAUGCGCUGCGCGCAUCGGGAUGGGCGUGGGCUGAUUAUUGCGGCAUCAAGACGGGAUGGGUGUAUAACAGGGUUGUUCUCAACUGAUCCCCUGAACUUAACGGAGUAAAAUUUUGUUUUUGCUAAAACUUUCCAAUUUUUUUGUUUAUAUAGUGCAUUUCAACUAGUACAUAUUUGCAUACAUAUUAAAUUCAAAUAUAAUAAUUAAGGCUCACACAACUCACAAAUAUUACAAAUUCAUAGUUCACAAAUUAAAAUAUCAAAGUCAAACACCCGACGGGGUUCAAAUCAAGGAAAGAGCAUGAUAAAAGCACAACUACGAAGCGCUAUGGAGAUGCCACUGAUUGUAUCUUCGAACGGCCUCCAAGAUUGUAUCUACUCAAAUGUGAACACAGUCAUCAAUGAUGUUGGCGGAACACCCAUAGGCGCACUCGAACAGCCGAGAUACACUUCAUCAAAAGGCUCACACUUAUCUCUCCGGAUGCACACCUCGCGAGCUUGAACCAAUCAUCAAGCUUCUCCAUGGCUUUUGCAAUCAUGAGAAUGAGACUUGUGUGCAACCAAAAUCACUGGCGAAUUUUUUUCUCCGAAUAGGUUGGAUUAGGGUAGAAUGGACCUCGGCUCUAUCUCACUUGAGGUGUAUACGGCCGAAUUGCGAUCCUUUCCUCUGCCGCUGAAAAUCUUCAUUGAAGAUCAUGUCGAUGGCCAUUUCAAAGUCGCCAUCGUCUUCUUCCUCCUCCAACAAAGAAUUCUCGAAUAUCAUCUUUCUCAACCUCUUCAUCUCGAAUUUAAAAUACUCACCUCAAUUCAAUUGGCAAAUAAAAAAACAAGAUGAAAAAGCAAAUAAAACUCACCUAGUCAAAUCGUCGAACACUUGCAAGGCAGCGGAUGUGUCACGAGUGGCCGACGACGUUGAGUGGAUACUAGCGGUCAGCGUGGCAUCGGAAUGGCCGACAAUGCAUGGUUAGGCUACAAGGAAGAAGAUCCGAGCCGCGUUCCGGUGACGGGAUUGAUGUGGCAGCUGCGACAUUUGAGUUCGAUUCCAGCAACAACAACGGCCGGUGACCGGCUCUGAAUGGGGCAGGAGGGUGGCGAGGACGAAAGGAGGUAGUGGGGUGUCGGCGGAGGCUGUGGGUAGUCGUCGACAGCAACGCCGCCGCCGACGCAACACAGGGUGGGGACGGCGGGAGCACGGGUGGGAGGGCCAAAACUUUUACUUGGCCGGGUGAAGGCCAAGUAAAUUUAAGAGUCCGCGUGGUGGAGGAGGUAAAUGUUUUCGCACUAAGAGCAUCUACAUCCGGACCUCUCAAACCCGCCUUAUACGCCGGGCGGGCCCGCCCGGUCACUGUCCGGUCACGAUUUUUUGAUCCAGAUGGGCCCCUCAAGUGGCCCUCAAACGCCCUGACUGACUGGCACCCCCCAUAUUCAGCCCAAAUAUGGGGCGGAUAUGGGGACGCCCUGGCGCGCCCGGGCAUGUCUGCCACGUCGGACCCGGCCCACGCUAGCCCACCCGACCCCACAUAAAAUUCUUCUCAUCCGCUCGCCGGACCAAACCCUAGCCACUUCACACCCCUCCCCUCCACUCCCCUCCGCCACCCAAGCUCGUCUCCGGCUCCUUCCGGUCGUCUCCGGCAUGGCGGGCAGCGGAUCCGAGUCCUUCACCUCCAGAUCCGUCAACCCCUGAGGAGGAGAUGGCCGUACGGCUUGCGCUCCGCGGCGCCAGGGAGGAGGCCCGUGGACGGCUGCGCUCGGACUCCAUCCGUCGGAAAUCCAUUGCGUCCGCCCAAAUGGGGCAUGGAUCCGGCGCUAGGCCGGCCGUAGCUGCCUCGCCGAAGGCCGUGCGGUCCGUCUGGCGUCCGAACGCGCUGGCGGACGCGCCACCCCAGUGGUGGCGCGCCGAUAUUGGAGACGCACCGUCGUCCCACGUGCUUGUAAUAAUAUGGAUUUGAGGUUUAUAAUUUAAGGUAUCCGGAUGUGAAAUGCGUUUUUUAAGAGGUGACCGGUCACUGUCCGGACGUGUUGGUGGGCGUUUGAGUGAUUGGAUUUGCCAAGUCCGGCUGUAAAUGCACCGAUGGCUAUACGGGUCGGCGGUCCUGGCAAAAACUGGAAUUUAUCCUCUUUCUCUAACCGGUUAUCGGGACCGGGUAGAUAUGCUGUUGAAAUCCUCUUUAUAUGCACGAGGCCAUGAGUGCAGUACAUUUUUUACCACUCCCGGACAAUUUUUUCUUUUCUUUUUUGCUUCGGUCAGUUCUAACCCGGGAUAACACUUCACUUCCUCUUCGUCUAGCCGAUUAUUGGGACUCGGUUAGAGAUGCUCUAAAUCGAAUUUUUACUUCUCUAGUAACGGAUAGGGAUCGGUUAGAGUUGGCCGGUUUAGCAAUUGCUACGGGAAACGGGUUCCACGAGCGCUGUGCAACACGCGCGCGCGAUGCUACCGUGGCCGGCGGGGCCUCGUGUCGUGCAUGAUCAUGAUGCAUGUGUGAGCAGCGAGCGCCCUCUGUGCGCGCGCACGUCGCCUUCGUCCCUCGGCGCCGCGUAGCUCCUGCCCUUGGCAUGCAGAUCGAUCUCCAGGGAUAUCACUGCUGCCACCUACCGCCGCGGCUCGUGCUCCACGCGCGCGCGCCGCGUCCAACCAAAUAAAUAUUCCUAACCUCUUCGUACGUGCUGCCAAAGCGGGGCACAUCAGGCACCCACGCACAUGCAUGCAUGCAUCCGCGCGCGAGCACGAGUUUCUAUCGUUUUAUCAUCACCGUUUGACAGUACGUGGCGGCCCUAUCGACCGGAGAAGGGGCGCCUUGGGAGCACGUAUAUUAAUCAGCAAUCAAGCGCACGACCUACCGCGCGGAUCCCCCGUACAAGUCUUGAAGAUGGCACACGUAGAAGCGACCAACCACUGGGUGUACUAUACGUCCCGGCCUUGGGAUCAAACAUGUCAUGUCAGUAUCAGGCUCACACGAUUUAAUUCGUGGUGCUAUGCGGUGUCAGGCGAUGCCACGCACUACCGUGCACGUACUAUACCGGUACUGCAUCCUACUUCGCCUCAUUGGUGGAUGAGAGAGGUAAAUUUGACAAAUUUGACCUACGGACGAAAUCAAAUCAUAGAAUGAACUGUCCGUGAAACUAUUUCACGCGGCUGACCCAUGGCGCCUAGCUCUCAGACGCUGCACUAGUGCAACGCCUGGGAGCUAGGCGCUACACUGUAAUGUGGCGCCUAGCUCUCAGGCGCUGCACACUGACUUAGUAAUUUUCUGAUCACACGGGUGCGAUGCUGGCCGUGUAGCGCCUAUCUGUGAGGCGUUGCAUAGUAUAGUGUGGCGCCUUCGUGUCGGGCGUUACACAAAAAGGUCAGCUACCUGAAAUAGUUUCAUGGAUAGUUCAUUCUGUAAUUUGAUUUCGUGUUUGGCGAUGAGACAUCGGCUCGUUGACGUCGAGCGGUUAGCAUAGGUAGCCGUACUAGAAUGCAGUAGUAAGUACAGUACGUUCUACGGUACCAGGGAUCAGAUUAGAACUGGUGGGGUAGGGUAGACGAUGUUUUACACUUUUACUGCUGAUGCUUUUGACGGGUUACACUUUUACUAGCACUCGUUGAUUGCGAGGGCCGUCCUAUGGUCCCAUGCUGACUAUGCGUUCCGCCCGCGGGGGCUCGUGUAGUCGUGUUGCAUGUGCACGCUGGAUCGAUCAAGUACCGAUCUGAUAUAAAAGGCGCAUUCACUCGCACAUGCCCUGUCUCGGGCGAACGAUUUCACGGAAGAAACACGAAACAGAAGAAACAGGGCAAUGGAAGGCAGUAAGAGCAAUUCCAACAGGGCAAUGGAAGGUAGUAAGAGCAAUUUCAAUGGACGGUAAUUUUGUUCGCCUUUUGUCCGUUUGAGUUGGCCGUUCGCCCUGUUUAUGAUUGGGGUUUGCCGGCUGGCCGUCGUUUUCCAACAAAUAUGUACAUUUUUUUGUUGAAAUAUUAGGCAAGUUCAUGAUUAAUUCCAGUAAAUAAUUCAUGACUAGAAGAGAUACUAGCAUGCAAUAAUCUGGCAAACUAGAAGAACAGCAAGACAUGCAUAACAGCAGCAAACACGUAACAAUAGCUGUAGAAACAGACAUGAACAGAGGAUGUUGGACGUACUGAUCGUUAGCUAUUAGGGGUGCGACAGUGUUGAUGAUGAUGUUGGCGACGAUCUGCUGCUGACGGCGAUGAAUACGACGAUGAGUAGCACCGCCCGACUUGGACGAAAGACGACCCGUGAUGACGAAUUUGAGCAGUCGCGCUCAGCGCUUCCCAAAAACCUAAUUCGUCCUCUCCCGGCGCAGGAUCGCAAAGACGAACGGUUCCGGAGACCUGCUCUCCCACGCGCCGAUGCACGCCGGCGUUUGGGAUGGAGUAGACUACGAUGGCGGCGCAAGUUGUGAGAUGAGGCAAAACCCUAGGUGUUUUUCGGUAUGUCUCUGGCCGCAGCCGGUAGCUGUAUAUAUAUUAGGACCAGAGGCGGUUUUUCGGUAUUGUGUCGCGACCACAAUCCCAAACCGACUCGGUUUCUAAUUCGUAUACUUACCGGAUAAGAAAUCAAAAACUUGUCUGCCAAGACAUAAAAAUAAAACGGCAAAAGGAAGCUGCGCUCCUGCAAGGAGACGGACCGGAUUUCGGCGGACCAUUCACGCGCAUGUCGCAUGUACGCCCCGCCCCGCCACGCCAGGCCAGGCCAGGCGAGCGAGCGCGCGCGUGUGGUUUUCCCUUUCUCUUCUCACACACCACUUAGAGUGGUGGAGAGAACCCACUAUAUAAAGAGGUCCAACUCUUCUUCAACUUCCAAGGUGGGACUAAACUUAGCACCACCACUUGCCAUUUUACACAUGGGCUUUGAGAUUUCAGAAAUUGCUAUGGGCCUAGCCCAUUAAUUCUAACAAUCCCCCACCAGAUCUCAAAUACCCAUUUAGAGAUUUGCCUUCUCUCACCACUUGUUUAAUAUACCAGUGUUUCAGCAGAGACUGUUAAGUUGAACUUCUGCCUAGAACUUUAAGCUACAUCCAUUCACAACUUGACAAUGGACUAUGCCUUGAAUUGCUAGUUUUGUGUGAACAGGUUUCACUCAAAGUCUUAACCAGUACCUGACCGCCAGUAGGCUACCCCGCGGUUUGGAGCUUAUACGUCAUACUCCCUGGUCUCUUCGUGAGCUUACUAGAGAUCACCCAAAUCUCAUAGACUGCGACGUUUACAGUCACAACUCAUAUAGGUGUGUUCUUUCAAGACUGCUCUGUAGGACAGCAUCUUUGCUAAUUAUAGCCAAUAGAACCACAUUAAGGCAUGUUGCCAACCUGCCUUACAGAUCUGAGCCUUACAGCUCUGAGAGUUUUGCAUCUUCACUUGGAGACGAUCAUAAGUUAUUACUCUCCUCAGUUAACCAAUAGCUUGUUCUUCCCAGAUCCUAAUUCACGGGAUCUCCGAUCACAAAGGUUGGGUUACUACUAUGGUGUAACAUCUAUGGGUCUCAUACCCAUCUCCCUCGAUGCAAUAUCUAUCACAUUUUGUGAUAGUCCCUUUGUAAAGGGAUCUGCCAGGUUUUUGUCUGUUUGUAUAUACGUAACAGUUAUUACUCCGGAGUUUCUCAACUUCCUGACGGACUUCAAACGUCUUUUCACGUGUCUUGAUGAAUUUGCAUUAUCUUUAGAAUUGUUCACUUUAGCGAUAACCGUUUGGUUAUCACAAUUCAUAAGAAUAGCCGGUACAGGUUUUUCAACAACCGGCAAGUCCAUCAAGAGCUCACGCAGCCAUUCUGCCUCAACAGUAGCUGUGUCCAAAGCAGUUAAUUCUGCUUCCAUAGUUGACCUCGUCAAUAUGGUUUGCUUGCAUGACCUCCAUGACACUGCGCCACCACCAUGAGUAAAUACAUACCCACUUGUUGCGUAAAGUACAUCAACAUCGGAGAUCCAAUUUGAAUCACUAUAUCCUUCUAGCACAGCAGGAUGCCCUGAAUAAGUAAUUCCGUAACUCAUAGUACCUCUCAGAUAGCGCAAGACCCUUUCUAGUGCAUGCCAAUGAUCAUCACCCGGGUUGGACAUGAACCUACUCAGUUUGCUCACAGCAAAAGAGAUAUCUGGUCUUGUAGCGCUAGCUAAGUACAUGAGUGAACCGACAAUUUGAGAGUAUCUUAAUUGAUCUCUCGUUUCUUUCUUGUUCUUUCUGAGUGUCACGCUGGGAUCAUAAGGUGUUGGAGAAGGCUUGCUAUCCAUAAAACCGAAUCGGUUCAAGACCUUCUCAACAUAGUGAGAUUGCGUUAAUGUAAUCCCACUCUCAUCCUUAAUAAGUUUUAUGUUUAGAAUUACAUCGGCUUCUCCCAGAUCUUUCAUAUCAAAACUUUUUGAUAGAAAAGACUUGACCUCAUUAAUUGCAUUAAUGUUUGUACCAAAGAUCAGUAUGUCGUCCACAUACAAACAUAAUAUGACACUAUUGCCCCCACCAUGGCGAUAGUAAACACACCUAUCAGCCUCGUUAAUGACAAAUCCUGCAGAAGUCAGAGUUCUUUCAAACUUCUCAUGCCAUUGCUUAGGUGCCUGUUUCAGACCAUACAAAGAUUUUAACAACUUGCACACCUUUCUCUCUUCACCCUUUACCACAAACCCGUCAGGCUGAUCCAUAUAGAUCUCCUCUUCCAACUCUCCAUUGAGAAAAGCUGUCUUUACAUCCAUUUGAUGAAUGAUAAGACCAUAAGAGGCAGCCAAGGAAAGUAACACUCGAAUGGUGGUCAUUCUAGCAACGGGUGAAUAGGUGUCAAAGUAAUCUUCGCCUUCUUUCUAAGUGUAGCCCUUGGCCACUAGCUGCGCCUUGUACUUAUCAAUAGUACCAUCAGGCUUUAGCUUCUUUUUGAACACCCACUUACAGCCCACAGGUUUACAACCAUAUGGUCUAUCAGUUAGUUCCCAAGUUCCAUUAGAAAGAAUUGAGUCCAUCUCAUUAUGAACAGCUUCUUUCCAAUCAUCUACAUCCGGAGAUGCAUAUGCUUCUGCAAUCGUCUUGGGCGUGUCGUCCACAAGGUAUACAAUGAAAUCAUCACCAAAGGAUUUUGCAAUCCUUUGUCUCUUGUUCCUUCUAGGAACUUCAUUGUUAUCCUUCUCAAGGACUUCCUCAUGUGAUUGUUCGAAAUAUUCAUCAGUUGUACUAGAUUCAGGAAUUAUCUCAGAAGAAAAUCUAGCAAUGCUAUGCAUAUCUUUCAUAGGAAAUAUGUUCUCAAAAAAUGUUGCAUCACGAGAUUCCAUUAUAGUAUCAACAUGCAUAUCAGGUACUUCAGAUUUUACCACUAAAAACCUAUAAGCAAUGCUCCGUUGAGCAUACCCUAGAAAGACACAAUCCACUGUCUUUGGUCCAAGUUUGCGUUUCUUAGGAAUAGGAAUAUUGACCUUUGCCAAACAUCCCCAAGUGCGCAAAUAAGAAAGUGAUGGUUUUCUCCCAACCCACUCUCAUAAGGGGUUUUCUCUUUAUUAUUGUUGGGAACUCUAUUCAGGACAUGACAUGAAGUCAAUAGAGCCUCCCCCCACCAUGCCUUAGAUAAACCAGCAGUGUCUAACAUGGCAUUCACCAAGUCAGUCAAUGUGCGGUUUUUCCUCUCGGCCACUCCAUUUGAUUGAGGUGAAUAGGGAGGCGUCCUCUCAUGAAUAAUACCAUGUUCCUCACAAAAUUCAUCAAAAACUUUUGGAAAAUACUCUCCACCACGAUCGGACCUAAGACGCUUGAUCUUUCUCUCUAGUUGAUUUUCAACUUCAGCUUUAUAGAUUUUAAAGUAGUCUAAUGCUUCAUCUUUAGUUUGCAAAAAAUAAACAUAGCAAAAUCUAGUCGCAUCAUCAAUCAAAGUCAUGAAAUAUCUCUUUCCACCUUUUGUCAACACACCAUUCAUCUCACAAAGAUCAGAAUGUAUGAGUUCUAGAGGUGCCAAGUUUCUCUCCUCGGCAGCCUUAUGAGGCUUUCGAGGUUGCUUAGAUUGCACACAACUAUGGCACUUAGAACCUUUGGCAACUGUGAAGUUCGGAAUUAAACUCAUGCUGGAUAGCCGAGACAUUAAACCAAAAUUAAUAUGACAUAAACGAGAGUGCCAAAUACUUGCAUCAUCAUUAACAUUGGCACAAAUUUGGUUUAUUGACUUAUUGCUAAAAUCUGAAAGAGAAAAGCGGAACAAGCCUCCGCACUCAUAGCCUUUUCCUAUAAAUUGUCCAAAUCUUGACACGAUUACUUUAUUGGACUCUAAAACUACCUUAAAUCCAUCUCGACAUAGAAGGGAGCCGCUAACUAGAUUCUUGUUCAUAGUAGGGACAUGCUGCACGUUCCUUAGUUGCACGAUCUUUCCCAAAGUAAACUUCAGAUCCACUGUGCCAAUGCCACGAACAGAAGCAUGUGACCCAUUCCCCAUUAGGACGGAAGAAUCCCUUGCGACCUGAUAAGAAGUAAACAGGGAGAUGUCAGCACACACAUGAACGUUAGCACCCGAAUCAAUCCACCACGAAGAUGAUUGAAAUACUGAAAGUACAAUAGGUAAAUUACCAUACCCAUCAGUAUUGCUAGCGGUCACCAUGUUGACAGUCUUGGAGCUUGUUUUCCCUCUGCGGUCUGCACGUUCAGGGCAUUCCUUGGAAAAGUGUCCAGGCUUCCCACAGGCGUAGCACUCUAGCUCAGCCUUGUUGAACUUCUUCUUCUUGAAGGUAGUAGUCUUGGUAGGCUUGUUGAAAACAGGUUUGUUCUUCCCUUUGUUCUUGUUCUGUGGGUACCUCUGCACCAUGUUAGCAGUAGGCUGAACCUCACCUCCUUUUUCAGUGGUAUCUUUAGCCCGAGCUUUUUCCUCAACAUCAAGAGAUGCAAUCAGAUUUUCAACUGAUAUCUCCUGUCUCUUAUGCUUCAGAGUUGUGGCGAAAUUCCUCCAUGAAGGAGGCAACUUUGCAAUCAUGCACCCAGCCACGAAUUUGUCGGGUAGAACACAUUUAAGGAGUUCAAGUUCCUUCACAAUGCACUGUAUCUCAUGAGCUUGUUCAACCACAGAACGGUUAUUCACCAUCUUGUAGUCAUGAAAACUCUCCAUGAUGUACAGUUCACUGCCUGCAUCUGUUGCACCGAAUUUUGCAUUCAGUGCAUCCCACAGAAUUUUUCCGUUGUUUAUGUGUACACAUCACACAGACGGUCAGCAAGAACACUCAGAAUGCAUCCCACAAACAUAGUAUUGGCUUCCUGGAAUUUUCUCCGAUCUUCGUCGGUCAUUCCCUCUGGAGCACCAAUACUAGCGUGGAAAACUUUCAGAGCAGUAAGCCAGAGCGUGGUCUUCACCUGCCACCUCUUAAAGUGCACACCGGUAAACUUAUCCGGCCUCAGUGCAUCAGCGAAUCCAGCCAUAGUUAACUCAGGAAAUUGCCUAUAAUUAGGUUUUUGGAUUGUUGGAAUAUUAGGCAAGUUCAUGAUUAAUUCCAGUAAAUAAUUCAUGACUAGAAGAGAUACUAGCAUGCAAUAAUCUAGCAAACUAGAAGAACAGCAAGACAUGCAUAACAGCAGCAAACACGUAACAAUAGCUGUAGAAACAGACAUGAACAGAGGAUGUUGGACGUACUGAUCGUUAGCUAUUAGGGGUGCGACAGUGUUGAUGACGAUGUUGGCGACGAUCUGCUGCUGACGGCGAUGAAUACGACGAUGAGUAGCACCGCCCGACUUGGACAGAAGACGACCCGUGAUGACGAAUUUGAGCAGUCGCGCUCAGCGCUUCCCAAAAACCUAAUUCUUCCUCUCCCGGUGCAGGAUCGCAAAGACGAACGGUUCCGGAGACCUGCUCUCCCACGCGCCGAUGCACGCCGGCGUUUGGGAUGGAGUAGACUACGAUGGCGGCGCAAGUUGUGAGAUGAGGCAAAACCCUAGGUGUUUUUCGGCGUGUCUCUGGCCGCAGCCGGUAGCUGUCAAAACUUGUCUGCCAAGACAUAAAAAUAAAACGGCAAAAGGAAGCUGCGCUCCUGCAAGGAGACGGACCGGAUUUCGGCGGACCAUUCACGCGCAUGUCGCAUGUACGCGCCGCCUCGCCUCGCCACGGCCCGGCCCGGCCCGGCCCGGCCCGGCGAGGCGAGGCGAGCGAGCGCGCGCGUGUGGUUUUCCCUUUCUCUUCUCACACACCACUUAGAGUGGUGGAGAGAACCCACUAUAUAAAGAGGUCCAACUCUUCUUCAACUUCCAAGGUGGGACUAAACUUAGCACCACCACUUGCCAUUUUACACAUGGGCUUUGAGAUUUCAGAAAUUGCUAUGGGCCUAGCCCAUUAAUUCUAACAUUUUUUACAUAGUUUCACAAGCAAACAAAAAUAACAUAGUUUCACAACCAAAUAAAUUUAAAAUAGUUUUACAAGCCGAAUAAAAAUUAAAUUGUUUCAAAUACAUUUAAAAAAAGAUACAUCUAUUGGUUCUCAACAUAAGCCCACAUAUGCUCAACCAAAUCAUUUUGCAGCUGCAUGUGAGUUUCCCAAUCACGCAUUUCAUGAUGAAAUUGAAUGAAAUGUGCAAACGUUGCAGCUCCUCCGCCAUGCUCAGGCACAAAAUUCUCACCCUGAAACUGAAACCCUUGAUCGUAGAUACGUUCCGACGCUCAUCCUCUAUGAUCAUAUUGUGCAUGAUCACACAAUCAGUCAUCACCUCCCACAACUUCUUGGUGCUCCAAGUUCUAGCAGGAUACCGAAUGAUGCCCCAUCGAGAUUGCAGAACACCAAAGGCACGCUCGACGUCCUCCUAGCACUCUCUUGCUCUUGGGCAAAUCUUUUUCCCUUCUCUCCGACAGGGUUGGGUAUUGUCUUCACAAUAGUGGUCCACUGAGGAUAGAUACCGUCACCUAGGAAGUAUCUUUUGUCGUAGUUGUGGCCAUUGAUUGUAACAUUCCCCGGCAGGCUGUUGCCUUCGGCAAGCCUUGCAAACAUCGGCGAGCGUUGAAGCACGCUGAUAUCAUUGUGCGAUCCGGCCAUGCCGAAGAAAGAGUGUCAGAUCCAGAGAUCUUGUGAGGCCAUGGCCUCAAGUAUGACAGUGCAAGCCCUGACAUGGCCCUUAUACUGCCCUUGCCAAGCAGAAGGGCAGUUCUUUCACUCUCAGUGCAUGCAUUCUAUGCUUCCAAGCAUCCCUGGGAAGCCCCUGCUGGCAUUCAUCGCCAACAAGCGGGCUGUAUCUUGAGCAGUCGACUCUCUCAAGUACUCAGGGCCGAACACAGCAAUCACAGCCUUGCAGAACCUGUACAUGGACUCUAGGCAUGUAGACUCGCUCAUACAGACGUACUCAUCAAUGAGAUCACCAGGCACUCGGUAUGCAAGCAUCCGGAUGGUUGCAGUGCAUUUCUGAUAAGAUGAGAAGCCAAUCUUUCCAAGGGCAUCCUCUCUGCACUCGAAAUAAUUAUCGUAUCCGACCACCCCCUCUCUAAUGUGGUUGAAAAGAUGCCUAGCCAUACGGAAAUGCCCGCCGGAAUUUCUAAUGUUUGAACAACGGGUUGGUUGUGUCAAAGUAGUCCUUCCAAAGAAGGAAAUGACCGCUCUCUCGGUUGCGAUUCAACGCCGGAAUGUGCCUCGGGAUCGAGCCCCGCAAUAACGGCCGCUGCCUAUUAAGGUGGCCAUGGACCAACACGGCAGCCAAGAUCUCCUGCUCCUCAUCGGACGAGGAAUCGUCGUAGUCGCAGUGGAAAUUGUGGAAAAAGAACUCGUCGGUGGAGUGCAUUUUGUACCUUGGCAAACUGUCGAACAGUUUGCGGGCGUCGAUGAAGAAGCUGGCCGGCGAAGAGACGCGCGGCUCCCUUGGAACAAGUGGCUGGCCUGGUGUCGUCCGACAAGCGUGCCGGCGUCAGGGCAUCGGGCGGUGAUGGACGAAGGAGCUGGCUGGGGCGGGGAGGCGGCUUCCUGCUCGCGACGGCGUCGGAGGGAGGGGGAAGCUUCGGUGCCCUGGCGGAAAGGCGGUGGUGGCAACAUGGGAGGUGGCGGCGUUGGGGGGAGGUGUGUCGGCACCGGGCAGAGUCACUGGAAAUGGGCGAUGGCGGUGACGGGGCAGGGAUGAGCGAGGGUUUGCUGUUGAUAUGAGUGGAAGAGGAUGACCAAUGUGACACCGACUAGCGGGCCAGGGGGAGGAGUAGGCGCGUGUCGCACGCGUCCGUUUCGUCCAUGCCGACGCAAAUCAGGCUCAAAAUUGGGCCGGGAAUGGGUCGCCAGGCGGACGAAAAGCGGACGCACGUCCGUUUGGGUCGGCGCCUUGGGCCGACUUUUCUGUCCGCGCCGACCCAAACAGACGCGCACAGACGAAACAGGUCGGCACGUUGGAGUUGCUCUAACAGCAACUCCAAUGGCCGACCCAAACGGACGGGCUCUUUGUCCGUAUUUAUCCGUUUGGUUGGCCGUGCGGACGGAAGUGUCCGUUUUUUCAUAUGGGUCGGCGCGUGCACCCAACGCUGGCCCGAUCCAUAUUUUUUAAACGCUGAAAUAAAAUAGAGAGCAAUUACGUUCAAACUUAAACAUAAAUAAAGCAUUUAAAACAGGUUAGCCGCGGGCCAAAGUCCACACUUAUAUUAAACAUAAAAUAAAAAAGUCUGCGCCGCCGCGCACGGUGCCCUAGGCGUCUUCGUCGUCCGAAGCAACAUCGACGAGGUCGACCAGUUGCAGAGCCGGGUGAUACGUCUCCGUCAUAUCUAUAAUUUUUGAUUGUUCCAUGCCAAUAUUCUACAACUUUCACAUACUUUUGACAACUUUUUAUACUAUUUUUGGGACUAGCAUAUUGAUCCAGUGCCCAGUGCCAGUUCCUAUCUGUUGCAUUUUUUUGUUUCGCAGAAAACCCAUAUCAAACGGAGUUCAAACGGGAUAAAAACUGACGGAGAUUUUUUUUGGAAUAUUUGUGAUUUUUGGGAAGAAGAAUCAACGCGAUACGAUGCCCGAGGGGGCCACGAGGCAGGGGGGCGCGCCCCAGGGGGUCAGGCGUGCCCUGGACCCUCGUGGCCACCCCGUAAGGCGGUUGGAGCCCUUCUUUCGCCGCAAGAAAGCUAAUUUUCGGAUAGAGAUCAUGUCCAAAAUUCAGCCCAAUCGGAGUUACAGAUCUCCGGUUAUAAAAGAAACGGUGAAAGGCCAGAUCUGAGAGCGCAGAAACACACACACACACACACACACACAGAGAGAGAGAGAGAGAGAGAGAGAGAGAGAGAGAGAGAGAGAGAGAGAGAGAUCCAAUCUUGGAGGGGCUCUUGCCCCUCCCACGCCAUGGAGACCAAGGACCAGAGGGAGAACCCUUCUCCCACCUAGGGAGAAGGCCAAGGAAGAAGGAUAAGGAGGGGGGCUCUCUCCCCCUCGCUUCCGGUGGCACCGGAGUGCCGCCGGGGCCAUCAUCAUCACCACAAUCUACACCAACAUCUUCACCGCUGUCAUCAGCAACUCUUCCCCCCUCUAUGCAGCGGUGUAUCCCCUCUUUUACCCGCUGUAAUCUCUACUUAAACAUGGUGCUCAAUGCUAUAUAUUAUUCACAAUGAUGUAUGGCUAUCCUAUGAUGUUUGAGUAGAUCCGUUUUGUCCUAUGGAUUAAUUGAUGAUCGUGAUUGGUUUGAGUUGCAUGUUUUAUUAUUGGUGCUUUCCUAUGGUGCUCUGCGUGUCGCACAAGCGUGAGGGAUCCCCGCUGUAGGGUUUGCAAUAUGUUCAUGAUUUGCUUAUGGUGGGUGGCGUGAGUGACAGAAGCACAUACCCGAGUAAGUAGGUUGUUUGCGUAUGGGAGUAAAGAGGACUUGAUGCCUUAUAAUGCUAUGGUUGGGUUUUACCUUAAUGAUCUUUAGUAGUUGCGGACGCUUGCUAGAGUUCCAAUCAUAAGUGCAUAUGAUCCAAGUAGAGAAAGUAUGUUAGCUUAUGCCUCUCCCUCAAAUAAAAUUGCAAUAACGAUUACCGGUCUAGUUAUCGAUUGCCUAGGGACAAAUAACUUUCUUGUGACAAAAAGCUAUUUACUAAAACUAAUUUAGUUGUGUAUUUAUCUAAACAACCCCUACUUUUUAUUUAUGUGCUCUUUAUUAUCUUGCAUACCUAUCCAAAAACACCUACAAAGUACUUCUAGUUUCAUACUUGUUCUAGGUAAAGCGAACGUUAAGCGUGCGUAGAGUUGUAUCGGUGGUCGAUAGAACUUGAGGGAAUAUUUGUUCUACCUUUAGCUCCUCGUUGGGUUCGACACUCUUACUUAUCGAAAGAGGCUACAAUUGAUCCCCUAUCUUGUGGGUUAUCAAGACCUUUUUCUGGCGCCGUUGCUGGGGAGCAAUAGCGUGGGGUGAAUAUUCUCGUGUGUGCUUGUUUGCUUUAUCACUAAGUAAUUUUUAUUUGCUGUUCUUAGUUGUUCUCUAUCUUUAGUUAUGGAUAUGGAACACAAAAUACCAAAAAAAUUAGGUGUACUUGCUGCUCAUGGAGAUGGGGAACCUCCUAAAACCCUCGAUGCUUGUUAUGUGAUAGAUAUUAUGUACUACUUUGAUAAUCCUGAGAAAACCCCAUUCAAUUUGGUAAUGGGAGACACGUUGGAUUAAUGUGAAUACUUUAGGGAUUAUCGCUUGACUCAAAAAGUGAAACUAUUAUGGGAUCAAAUUUAUAUGUUGAAGUGGUAUGCUAGGCAACUAUGCUUGAGAUAUGAUUAUACUUGUUGCUCUAGGAUGAAGGCUCCACACCUUCCCUUUUCAUGCAAAUUUAAUGAUAAUGAAACCUUGGCUUAUUAUGCUAGAGGUAUAUAUGAUUACUAUGAUGUGGAACAAAUAGAAUAAUUUGUUGCUUUUAUGGGUGCUUAUGAAGUUGAAUCUGUAUUUAAAGAGUGUGAAAAUCUUUAUGAUGCUGUUUAUAGACCUGAAAAUUUAGCUAUCCUUAAAUAUUGCUAUGAGAAUUAUGAAUACAAUGCCGAUAUUAAUGAAUUUAUUGAGAAAGUCUCCGCUGUCCAAGAAGAGAUUAAUAUUUUGCAGGAGUCUAUGGAAGAAGAAAUUGAUGAAACUGUGAGCUUAUUGGAUGGAAAAGAUGAGGAGGAGAGCGAAGAACAAAAGGAGGAAGAGCGGAUUGAUCACCCGUGCCCACCUUCUAAUGAGAGUAACUCUUCAACUCAUACAUUGUUUAAUUUCCCUUCGUGCUUACCUAAGGAUGAUUGCUAUGAUGACUGUUAUGAUCCCGUUGAUUCUCUUGAAAUAUCCCUUUUUGAUGAUGCUUGCUAUGCUUGUGGCCAAGAUGCCAAUAUGAAUUAUGCUUAUGGAGAUGAACUUGCUAUAGUUCCUUAUGUUAAACAUGGAAUUGUUGCUAUUGCACCCACGCAUGAUAGUCCUAUUAUCUUUUUGAAUUCUCCCGACUACACUAUAUCGGAGAAGUUUGCACUUCUUAAGGAUUAUAUUGAUGGGUCGCCUUUUACCGUUGCACAUGAUGAUUUUGAUGAAUAUAAUAUGCAUGUGCUUUCUGCUCCUACUUGCAAUUAUUAUGAGAGAGGAACUAUAUCUCCACCUCUCUAUGUUUCCAACACGAACAAAUUGCAAGAAACUGUUUAUACUAUGCAUUGGCCUUUACUAUGUGUGCAUGAAUUGUUCCUUUACGACAUGCCGAUUCAUAGGAAGAGAGUUAGACUUCGUCAUUUCUUGAGAUAUGUUGCUUUGUGCUCACUACUAAAUGCUAAAUCAUUGUUAAUUAAAAUUGGCUUUGAUAUACCUUGGGAUCCGGGUGGAUUCACUACUUGAGCACUAUAUGCCUAGCUUAAUGGCUUUAAAGAAAGCGCUGCCAGGGAGACAACCCGGAAGUUUUAGAGAGUCAUUUAUUUCUGUUGAGUGCUUUUAUAUAGUUUAAAAACAAAAAAAUAGAGAGGGGAACCCGAAACUUUUCAAAAAGGAAAGUGAAAGUGAGAAAGACAAGCAUUGUUGAAGUGGGAGAGCUCCAUGAAGUUUGUUCAUGCUCACGGAAACUUUGUGAAUCUUAAUUACAGAAAAUUUUCAAUAAAAAUAAUUAUCCCCUUGUACAAUUCCAUUGUAUUAUAAAAACAAUGUGCCAAGGUUUGCCUUUAGGAUGUUUACAAUGCUUGUUGGUUUGUACGGUGCAGGACAGAAACUUUGGCUGUAGUGCGCUAUUUUUCAUUUUUACUGGAACGUCAAACGGUUCUGAAACUUUUUGAACUGUCUUUAUAUACAAAUUGUUUAUUGUUCCUAAUUUUGGUAGAAUUUGUGGAGUACCAGAGGUAUGGUGAAUGUUCAGAUUAUUACAGACUGUUCUGUUUUAGACAGAUUCUGUUUUUGAUGCAUAGUUUGUUUGUUUUGAUGAAACUAUUAAUUUCUAUCAGUGGAUUAAGCCAUGGAAAAGUUAUAUUACAGUAGCUACAAUGCAAAUAAAAAAUAUGAAUUGGUUUGCAACAGUACUUAGAGUAGUGAUUUGCUUUAUUAUACUAACGGAUCUUACCGAGUUUUCUGUUGAGUUUUGUGUGGAUGAAGUGUUCGAAGAUCGAGGAGGUCUCGAUGUGAGGAGAAGGAAGAGAGGCAAGAGCUCAAGCUUGGGGAUGCCCAAGGCACCCCAAGUAAAUAUUCAAGGAGACUCAACCGUCUAAGCUUGGGGAUGCCCCGGAAGGCAUCCCAUCUUUCUUCAACAAAUAUCGGUAUGUUUUCGGAUUUGUUUCGUUCAUGCGAUAUGUGCAAAUCUUGGAGCGUCUUUUGCAUUUAGUUUUCUCUUUUCUUUUAUGCACCAUGCUGGUAUGAGAUAGUCCUUGGUUGAUUUAUAGAAUGCUCUUUGCACUUCACUUAUAUCUUUUGAGUAUGGCUUUAUAGAAUGCUUCAUGUGCUUCACUUAUAUCAUUUGAAGUUUGGAUUGCCUGUUUCUCUUCACAUAGAAAACCGCCAUUCGUAGAAUGCUCUUUUGCUUCACUUAUAUUUGUUAGAGCGUGGGCAUAUCUUUUGUAGAAAGAAUUAAACUCUCUUGCUUCACUUAUAUCUAUUUAGAGAGAUGACAGGAACUGGUCAUUCACAUGGUUAGUCAUAAAAUCCUACAUAAAACUUGUAGAUCACCGAAUAUGAUAUGUUUCAUUCCUUGCAAUAGUUUUGCGAUAUAAAGAUGGUGAUAUUAGAGUCAUGCUAGUGGGUAGUUGUGGAUUGUAGAAAUACUUGUGUUGAAGUUUGUGAUUCCCGUAGCAUGCACGUCUGGUGAACCGUUAUGUAACGAAGUUGGAGCAGGAGGUAUUUAUUGAUUGUCUUCCUUAUGAGUGGCGGUCGGGGACGAGCGAUGGUAUUUUCCUACCAAUCUAUCCCCCUAGGGGCAUGCAUAGUAGUACUUUGCUUCGAGGGCUAAUAAACUUUUGUAAUAAGUAUAUGAGUUCUUUAUGACUAAUGUGAGUCCAUGGAUUAUACGCACUCUCACCCUUCCAUCAUUGCUAGCCUCUUCGGUACCGUGCAUUGCCCUUUCUCACCUCGAGAGUUGGUGCAAACUUCGCCGGUACAUCCAAACCCCGUGAUACGAUACGCUCUAUCACACAUAAGCCUCAUUAUAUCUUCCUCAAAACAGCCACCAUACCUACCUAUCAUGACAUUUCCAUAGCCAUUCCGAGAUAUAUUGCCAUGCAACUUCCAUCAUCAUCACAUACAUGACUUGAGCAUUUAUUGUCAUAUUGCUUUGCAUGAUCGUAAGAUAGCUAGCAUGAUGUUUUCAUGGCUUGUCCGCUUUUUGAUGUCAUUGCAACGCUAGAUCAUUGCACAUCCCGGUACACCGCCGGAGGCAUUCAUAUAGAGUCAUAUCUUUAUUAUAGUAUCGAGUUGUAAUAUUGAGUUGUAAGUAAAUAAAAAUGUGAUGAUCAUCAUUAUUAGAGCAUUGUCCCAAGAAAAAAAGAGAGGCCAAAGAAGCCUAAAUAAAAAAAGGGGGGCCAAAGAAGCCCGCAAAAAAAAAGAAAAAAAAAGAGAAAAAAAGAAAAAAGGGCAAUGUUACUAUCCUUUUACCACACUUGUGCUUCAAUGUAGCACCAUGUUCUUCAUAUAGAGAGUCUCUUGAGUUAUCACUUUUAUAUACUAGUGGGAAUUUUCAUUAUAGAACUUGGCUUGUAUAUUCCGAUGAUGGGCUUCCUCAAAUGCCCGAGGUCUUCAUGUGCAAGCAAGUUGGAUGCACACCCACUUAGUUUCCAGUUUGAGCUUUCAUACACUUAUAGCUCUUAGUGCAUCCGUUGCAUGGCAAUCCCUACUCCUCACAUUGACAUCAAUUGAUGGGCAUCUCCCUAGCCCGUUGAUUAGCCGCGUCGAUGUGAGACUUUCUCAUUUUUUGUCUUCUCCACACAACCUCCAUUAUCAUAUUCUAUUCCACCCAUAGUGCUAUCACUACAAAAAAAAGACACAUCCGUGACAUUUUGGGCCGAACGAUUUUUUUUCUAUCAUACUUAUGAGUUAUGACACUUCUAUGACAAUAAUUGUGACAAAACACGGUAUCAUCAUAGAUGUGGUGGGGUCCUACUUCUAUGACAAAAAAUCAUGACAGAAAAUGGGCUUUUCGUCUUGGGCGGGCCGGAGAUGCAGCUGCAUGACAUUCUUUGGGCCGUCCAUGACGGAAAAACCCGUGGUAGAAGCGAGGGCGAGGAAAAUAUCGGGGUGUUCCCGGUUACGGUGGGUGGUCGGGGCCGAGCGAUGCGCGUUUCUCUCGUACACGCACGCGCGUGGGUGCGAGGCGUUGGGCUCUAACUGAACCCGAGCGAGGCGUUGGGCUCUAACUGAACCCGAGCGAUUGCACUGCAGGCUACGCGUUACUGAACCCGAGCGAUCGAUCGAUGGCUGUUAACUGAACCCGAUCGAGCGAUUCCUUCGCUACUGCUGCUANNNNNNNNNNNNNNNNNNNNNNNNNNNNNNNNNNNNNNNNNNNNNNNNNNNNNNNNNNNNNNNNNNNNNNNNNNNNNNNNNNNNNNNNNNNNNNNNNNNNNNNNNNNNNNNNNNNNNNNNNNNNNNNNNNNNNNNNNNNNNNNNNNNNNNNNNNNNNNNNNNNNNNNNNNNNNNNNNNNNNNNNNNNNNNNNNNNNNNNNNNNNNNNNNNNNNNNNNNNNNNNNNNNNNNNNNNNNNNNNGUUCCCGGUGGGGGUGGAUGAAAAGUGAGCGUUGCUGGGGGGUUUGGAUGAACAGUUCCCGGUGGGGGUGAAUGAACAGGACCCCGUGGUGUUGCCUCUGGAUGAACAGUACCCCGAUCGUUCGAGCCGGUUGGGGCUGGAUGAACAGGACCCCGUGGAGGGCAGGAUGAACAGGACCACCCCGUGGAGGGCAGGAUGAACAGUAGACGGUGGAGGGCAGGAUGAACAGUAGCCCGUGGAGGGGUGGUUGAACAGGAGCCCGUGGAGAGGGCUGGUUGAACAGUAGCCAGUGGAGUAGCGCGCGGUGGAGGCUGGAUGAACAGGAGCCCGUCGAUGAACAGUCGCAGGUGGAGGCUAGAGGAGGUUGACGGUGGAUGAACAGUAGCCUGUGGAGGCAGGAGGGGGUCGACGGUGGAGAUGAACAGUAUCCCGUGGAGUCCCGUUUUGCGGUACGCCACACCCCUCCCGAUGAACAGCACCCCCGUUUCGACCGUAGCGCUCCAACACAAGUCCGCUUCCUCCGUUUUGCGGUACGCCACACCCCUCCCGAUCAACAGGACCCCCGUUUCGACCGUAGGAGGUCCGUUUCCUCCGUUUUGCGGUACGCCAGACCCCUCCCGAUGAACAGGAUCCCGUUUCGAACGUGGCCGGUCAAACACAAGGCCGUUUCCUCCGUUCUGCGGUACGCCAGGCCUUGUUUCCAUUGGCUGUUCCGUCCAAGCCCUCCCAAUGAACACGAGGAUGCAUUCCGUUCCGACGCAGCCGGUUGGCUCCCCAUGAACACGACGACGACGCUGUUUCUCCGUUCCGACCCAGCCAUGUACACAAGCCCUGACCGUAUGUAUGCGAGAGUAGGCAUUCGAGACCCUGCCCGUAUGUACGUACGUGGCCGUAUUUUUUUCUUGCACACUGGCCGCUGUACGUACGUGUACAUGCUACGUGCGCGCCUCUACUACGACACGUGCGCGCCUCUACAUCGACCAGUAUGUACGUACACGUUCGCGACCAGAAUGACAACGCUACGUACGCUUCGACCAGGUGGGUCCCGACUGUCAGGCACUUCCUUGCCUGCGAAGAUGUAGCUGGUGAGUCCCAGCAGUCAGGGGGGGCGAAUCGUUUUUUUUUUGCCCGGACGCACUUCCUUGCGUGCGAAGAUGUAGCUGGUGGGUCCCAUCAGUCAGGGGGAAACAUUUUUUUCACGAAAUACGGUGGCCCAUCCGGUGGGUCCACGCUAUCAGGUGGAGGAAUAAUUAUUUUGCACGUAAUAAGGAGGCACUUCCUUGCUGCGGCCGUGGACCCAGCUAUCAGUUGAUACGUCUUCAACGUAUCUAUAAUUUAUGAAAUAUUCAUGCUAUUAUACUAUCCUUCUAGGAUGUUUUAUAUGCAUUUAUAUGAUAUUUUAUAUGAUUUUUGGGACUAACCUAUUAACCUAGAGCCCAGUGCCAGUUUCUGUUUUCUCCUUGUUUUAGAGUAUCGCAGAAAAGGAAAACUAAACGGAGUCCAAUUGACGUGCCAGUUGACGGAGAUCAUUUUUGGACCAGAAGAAGCCCACGGAGUACCAGAAGCAGGCCAGAAGAAUCUCGGGCUGCCCACGAGGGUGGGGGCGCGCCCACCCCCUAGGGUGCGCCCCCUGCCUCGUGGACAGCCCGGAGACCCCCCUGACGUGAAAUCAACGCAAAACUCUUCUAUAUAUACCCAAACUUCCAGAAAGAAACCUAGAUCGGAAGUUCCGCCGCCGCAAGCCUCUGUAGCCACGAGAAGUCAAUCUAGGCCCUCUCCGGCACCCUGCCGGAGGGGGCCAUCAUCACCGGUGGCCAUGGAGGAGUAUCCCGGAGGGGCCAUCAUCACCAUGAAGGCCAAGGACCAGAGGGUGGAGGCCAUGGAGGGGGAAGCACAAGGGGGAGAACCUCUCCUCCUCUCUUUCGGUGGCGCCGGAGUGCCUUCGGGAGGGGAAUCAUCGCCACGGUGAUCGUCUUCAUCAACAUCACCAUCCUCACCUCUUUUACGCGGUCCACUCUCCCACACCCCGCUGUAAUCCCUACUUGAACAUGGUGCUUUAUGCCACAUAUUAUGCUCCAAUGAUGUGUUGCCAUCCUAUGAUGUUUUGAGUAGAUAUCUUUGUUCUUUGGGUUGAUUGAUGAUCUAGAUUGGUAUGAGUUGUAUGUUUUAUUUUGGUGCUGUCCUAUGGUGCCCUCCGUGUCGCGCAAGCGUGAGGGACUCCCGCUGUAGGGUGUUGCAAUACGUUCAUGAUUCGCUUAUAGUGGGUUGGUGAGUGACUGAAACACAAACCUGAGUAAGAGGGAUUGUUGCGUAUGGGAAUAAAGAGGACUUGAUGCUUUAAUGCUAUGGUUGGGUUUUACCUUAAUGAUCUUUAGUAGUUGCAGAUGCUUGCUAGAGUUCCAAUCAUAAGUGCAUAUGAUCCAAGUAGAGAAAGUAUGUUAGCUUAUGCCUCUCCCUCAUAUGAAACUGCAAUAGUGAUUACCGGUCUUGUUAACAAUUGCCUAGGAGAAUUCCGCACACCGAUCCAUCAUUAUUCCACACUCGCUAUUUAUAUUAUUUAGUAAUAUAUUCUAACUUUAUGAUAACAGCACCUACUUUUAUAUUUUAGCUCUCCGAUACCAUACAAAGUUAUCCUCUUCAUACCCACAACGUAGUUUUAUUUCUCGUUUCUAGUUGGAAGCAAACGUUCGGUGUACGUAGAGUCGUAUCAGUGGCAGAUAGGGCUUGAGAGAAUAUUGAUCUUACCUUUAGCACCUUGUGGGUUCGACACUCCAUACUUAUCACUUCCACCUUUGGAAAUUUCUACGAUGAUUCCCUGCACUUGGGGAUUAUCAAGCUCUUUUCUGGCGCCGUUGCCGGGGAGCAAUAGCGUGGGGUUGAUAUUCUCGUGUGUGCUUGUUUGCUUUCUUCACUAAGUAGAUUUUGUUUUUACUUUUUGUUUCGGUUUAGUUGUGGGUGAAACACACAAUUUUUUUUAAAUAAUGAAAAUACAAAAAAUGUACUUGCCUCUCAUGCCUAAAAAGUUUUUUCAAAAAGAGAAGUAAUUGGAAAGUGAUGCAUUGAAGAAGUGAGGGUCGACCUUGAGCACUUGUGCUCAUGCUCACGGAAACAAUGUAGAAUUUUUCAUGGAAGUUUCUCUGUAAAUAAUUAUCCCCUUAUAUAUAUUCAUUGUAUUAUAAAAAUAAUGUGCCAAGCUUUGGUUUUGGGAUGAUUAGAUUGCUUGUUUACUAUGUGCAGAACAAAAACAGAAACUUUGUCUGUAGUGCGUGAAUUUACAUUUUUUACUGGAAAGUCGAAUGGGUCUGAAACUUUUUGCACAUUACUUCUGUACAAAUUUCUCAAAUUUUCAAAUUUAGUUCAUAAUUUUAGGAGUUACAGAAGUUUGCUAAACUUCCAUAUUACUACAGACUGUCCUGUUUAAGACAGAUUCUGUUUUUGAUGCAUUGCUUGCUUGUUUUGAUGAAACUAUCGGUCUCUAUCAGUGGAUUAAGCCAUGGAAAAGUUAUAUUACAGUAGCUAUAAUGCAAAAACAAAAUAUGAAUUGGUUUGCAACAGUACUUAUAGUAGUGAUUUGCUUUGUUAUACUAACGGAUCUCACAAAGUUUUUGUUAAGUUUUUGUGGAUGAAGUGUUCGAAGAACGAGGAGUUACCGAUGUGAGAAGAAUAAAGAGAAGAAAGAGUUCAAGCUUGGGGAUGCCCAUGGCACCCCAAGUAAAUAUUUCAAAGGAUACUCAAGCAUCUAAGCUUGGGGAUGCCCCGGUUGACAUACCUCGGUUUUUGUUUUGUUCACAUGAUUUGUGUCCUUUGUGUUUUUGUUUUUCCUUUAAGAACCAUGCUAGUAUGAGAUGUCCCUUCAUCAAUUUAUAUAAUACUUCAUGUGCUUCACUUAUAUCUUUUAAGUACGAUCUUAUAGAAUUACUCUUUGUGCUUCACUUAAAUCUUUUGAGUAUGGUUUUAUAGAAUGCUUCGUGUGCUUCACUUAUAUAUUUUGAGCUUGGAUAUUGGUUAGUCUAUGUUAAUUAUAGAAUGCUCCAUGAACUUCACUUAUAUCUUUUGGAGUAUGAAUAAUACUAUCAUUUAAAGCGGGUUUGGAAGAGUGUCAACUUUAGGAAUUAGUGAUCCACUCUCUUGGAGGGUGUUGAAUCUUAGUGUGAUAUUUAUGAAAGUGGAUUUGGAAGAGUGUCAACUUUAGCUAGUAAUGAUUCCACUAUUUCGGAAGAGGUUCCAAUUGAGUAUGAGAACAAAGUUGCUAUCCAUGAUGCUACUGAAAAUUAUUAUGAGGGAGGAAUACAUGCUUGUAGGAGUUGCAAUAAUAUCAAGUUUCCUCUCUAUGUGCUUAAAGUUAUACUUGUUUUGCCUUCCUAUGCUAGUUGAUUCUUGUUCCCGUAAGUUGUGUGCUCACAGAAUCCCUAGGCAUAGGAAGUAGGUUAUGUUUAAAUGUGCUAGUCAUAUUCUUCAAGAUGUUCUCUUUGUGUUUCAACUCUUGUCUAUUAUGUGAGCAUCAUUGAAAUCAUCAUGCCUAGCUAAAAGGCAUUAAAGAAAAGCGCUUGUUGGGAGACAACCCAAUAUUUAUCCUUACUGUCUUUUUGUGUUUAGAUGAUUAAGAUACUGUAGUAAUCAUGUUUUAUAGCUUUUGUUUCAAUAAAGUGCCAAGUAAGACCUUUGGGAAGACUUGGGUGAAAGUUAAUGUGAUCUUGCUGUAAAAAACAGAAACUUUGCGCUCACGGGAAUAGAUGUCAUUUUUUACAGAAGAGUGCUUUUGAGUUGAUUCUUUUUUCAGAAGAUCAAUAGACAAAUUCCUCACGUCCACCAAUUUAUUUCAUAAUUUUUGGAGUAGGAGAAGUAUGGUUUAUGUUCAGAUCAUUACAGACUGUUCUGUUUCUGACAGAUUAUGUUUUCAUUGCAUAGUUUGCUUGUUUUCUAGUUUCUAUGACUUAUAUUUCUCAAUAUAAAUUGUAGAAAUGAUAUGGUAUAGUAGACAUUGUGUGAGAACAAUUAUGAAACUUGUCCUUAACAGUACCAAAGUGAAUGGUUUACUCUUUAUCAUACUAACCUAUCUCACGAAUUUUGGUUAAGUUUUGUGUGAUUGAAGUUUCAAGCUUUGGGUGAGAUAUCGAUAUGAGGAGAAUAAGGAGUGGAAAGACCCUAAGCUUGGGGAUGCCCAAGGCACCCCAAGGUAAUAUUCAAGGAAGACUCAAGUACCUAAGCUUGGGGAUGCCCCGGAAGGCAUCCCCUCUUUCAUCUUCAAAACUAUCGGUACACCUUACUCGGAACUAUAUUUUUAUUCAUCACAUGAUAUGUGUUUUGCUUGGUGCGUAUUUUCAAUUUUACUUGCUGUUUGAAUAAUAUCAUUGGAUCUGAAAUAUUGAAUGAAAAAGAACCCUCCCAUGGCUAGUUAAUUAUUUGACUACUCAGUGUUCUUCACUCAUAUCUUUUGGAGUAGUUUGUCAUUUACUCAUGUGCUUCAUGUAUAUCCUAUGAGUAAAUGGUUGAAUAAAUUGAAUGUCAUAAAUCUGAAUUUAUAUAUGUUUCGUAUGCUUAUAACAUGGGGAGUAAUGACUUCACACAUAAUAAGUAUAGGUAGUAAACUUAUUGAAAGUUAGCAAACGUAGAAUUGGUCACUUGAACAAUUCAUGAAAGAAUAUUGAAGGAAGAGAGGUUUCACAUAUAAAUACACUAUCUUGGACAUCUUUUAUGACUGGGAGCACUCAUUAAAAUAUGACAUGCUAAAGAGUUGAUGUUGGACAAGGAAGACAACGUAAUGGGUUAUGUUUUCUUAUAUCUGAAAUAAAGUAUAUUGUCAUGGAUCAUCCAACAUGUUGAGCUUGCCUUUCCCCCUCAUGCUAGCCAAAUUCUUUGCACCAAGUAGGGAUACUACUUGUGCUUCCAAAUACCCUUAAAACAAGUUUUGCCAUGAGAGUCCACCAUAUCUACCUAUGGAUUGAGUAAGAUCCUUCAAGUAAGUUGUCAUCGGUGCAAGCAAUAAAAAUUGCUCUCUAAAUAUGUAUGAUUGAUUGGUGUGGAGGAAAUAAGCUUUAUACGAUCUUGUGAUGUGGAAGAAAUAAAAGCGACGGACUGCAUAAUAAAGGUCCAUAUCACAAGUGGCAAUAUAAAGUGACGUUCUUUCGCAUUAAGAUUUUGUGCAUCCAACCCUGAAAGCGCAUGGCAACCUCUGCUUCCCUCUAUGAAGGGCCUAUCUUUUACUUUUAUCUUCUACCUUAUGCAAGAGUCUUGGUGAUCUUCACCUUUCCAUUUUACAUUUUAUCCUUCGGCAAGCACAGGAUGUUGGAAGGAUCCUGAUAUAUAUAUAUAUAUAUAUAUAUAUAUAUAUGUAUAUAUAUAUAUAUAUAUAAAAUUGGAUGUAAGUUAGCAUGAGCUAUUAUUGUUGACAUUACCCUUGAGGUAAAAGGUUGGGAGGCAAAACUAUAAGCCCCUAUCUUUCUCUGUGUCCGAUUAAUACUGCAUAACCACAAGUAUUGCGUGAGUGUUAGCAAUUGUGAAAGAUUAAAUGAUAGUUGAGUAUGUGAAGUUUGCUAAAUCAAAGCUCUGACAUAGACUCUUCCUGAAAAUAGGAUGAAUUGCAAUUGUUGGAUGACUGAGAAUAUUGUUUGUUAGUUUUCAAGAAAGUUUAUGAUCUAUACUUUAAACUUGUGACUUGCUUGUUACUUGAUCAUGAAAAGUUUUAUGAGAUGAGCUAUUGUUAUGACAUAUAAUGAUGCUAGAAAAAGUGAUUGGAAUUAUCAUUGAUCAAAAUUAUGCACUUGCUAGCAUUCACACUUCAUAAAUUAUUUCUUUUAUCAUUUACCUACUCGAGGACGAGCAGGAAUUAAGCUUGGGGAUGCUGAUACGUCUCCAACGGAUCUAUAAUUUAUGAAGUAUUCAUGCUAUUAUAGUAUCCUUCUAGGAUGUUUUAUAUGCAUUUAUAUGAUAUUUUAUAUGAUUUUUGGGACUAACCUAUUAACCUAGAGCCCAGUGCCAGUUUCUGUUUUCUCCUUGUUUUACAGUAUCGCAGGAAAGGAAAACUAAAUGGAGUCCAAUUGACGUGCCACUUGACGGAGAUCAUUUUUGGACCAGAAGAAGCCCACGGAGUACCAGAAGCAGGCCAGAAGAGUCCCGGGCUGCCCACGAGGGUGGGGGGCGCGCCCCCUGCCUCGUGGACAGCCCGGAGACCCCCCUGACGUGAAAUCAACGCAAAACUCUUCUAUAUAUACCCAAACUUCCAGAAAGAAACCUAGAUCAGAAGUUCCGCCGCCACAAGCCUCUGUAGCCACGAGAAGCCUCUGCACCCUGCCGGAGGGGGCCAUCAUCACCGGUGGCCAUGGAGGAGUAUCCCGGAGGGGCCAUCAUCACCAUGAAGGCCAAGGACCAGAGGGUGGAGGCCAUGGAGGAGGAAGCACAAGGGGGAGAACCUCUCCUCCUCUCUUCCGGUGGCGCCGGAGUGCCAUCGGGAGGGGAAUCAUCGCCAUGGUGAUCGUCUUCAUCAACAUCACCAUCAUCAUCACCAUCCUCACCUCUUUUACGCGGUCCACUCUCCCGCACCCCGAUGUAAUCCCUACUUGAACAUGGUGCUUUAUGCCACAUAUUAUGAUCCAAUGAUGUGUUGCCAUCCUAUGAUGUUUUGAGUAGAUAUCUUUUGUCUUUGGGUUGAUUGAUGAUCUAGAUUGGUAUGAGUUGUAUGUUUUAUUUUGGUGCUGUCCUAUGGUGCCCUCCGUGUCGCGCAAGCGUGAGGGACUCCCGCUGUAGGGUGUUGCAAUACGUUCAUGAUUCGCUUAUAGUGGGUUGGUGAGUGACUGAAACACAAACCCGAGUAAGAGGGAUUGUUGCGUAUGGGAAUAAAGAGGACUUGAUGCUUUAAUGCUAUGGUUGGGUUUUACCUUAAUGAUCUUUAGUAGUUGCGGAUGCUUGCUAGAGUUCCAAUCAUAAGUGCAUAUGAUCCAAGUAGAGAAAGUAUGUUAGCUUAUGCCUCUCCCUCAUAUGAAACUGCAAUAGUGAUUACCGGUCAUGUUAACAAUUGCCUAGGACAAUUCCGCACACCAAUCCAUCAUUAUUACACACUCGCUAUUUAUAUUAUUUAGUAAUAUAUUCUAACUUUAUGAUAACAGCACCUACUUUUAUAUUUUAGCUCUCCUAUACCAUACAAAGUUAUCCUCUUCAUACCCACAACGUAGUUUUAUUUCUCGUUUCUAGUUGGAAGCAAACGUUCGGUGUACGUAGAGUCGUAUCAAUGGCAGAUAGGGCUUGAGAGAAUAUUGAUCUUACCUUUAGCUCCUUGUGGGUUCGACACUCCAUACUUAUCACUUCCACCUUUGGAAAUUGCUACUAUGAUUCCCUGCACUUGGGGAUUAUCAUCAGCCUCUCCACGUACAGUCCACGUCCGAUGGAAGCCGUUCCUUGACCACGUUGACCACGUCGCGCCGAGAGCACCAGGGCGGUGGACGACGGCGAGGCCUAAGAAGGGGACGACGCGGCAGUGGAUGCCCAUGCGUAGAGGAGUACGAGGGUUCACUGGUUCGCUGCGGUGUGAGGCUACCGUCGCCGCAGAAUAACAGGGGUGUGGGUGAGUAGAGGGAUGGUCUGGCCAGCGGUGGGAAUAGUAGGGGGCGUGAGGCCUCCGCGGCAGCACAACCGGCCACGGGAGGUAGGAGCAUGCGGCACGACCGACGCUGCUUUGGGCGGCUGGAGCAACAAGACCAGAGGUUGAAGAAGCACUACGGCCGUUGGAUGGACAUCGUACGGUCACUGGAGCUAGAAUCGUUCAUCUUGACUAAGUUGACAAAGCACUCCGUCCCCGUCAACUUAGUAGGCCCACAAGUCAGCCUCCCACCAAGGUGGGUCCCAACCAGCAGGGGGAGUAUUCAUUUUUUGUGCGUAAUAAGGAGGCACUUCCGGUGGGUCCGAGCUGACAGUGGGGGGAAUGUUUUUUUCGCGCAAUACGGUGGCCCGUCCGGUGGGUCCAAGCAGUCAGGGGGGAAACGUUUUUUUCGCGAAAUACGGUGGCCCGUCCAGUGGGUCCCUGCUGUCAGGUGGAGGAAUCAUUAUUUUCCGCAUAAUAAGGAGGCACUUCCUUGCUGCCGUCGUGGACCCAGCUGUCAGCCUCUCCACAUACAGUCCACGUCCGAUGGAAGCCAUUCCUUGACCACGUUAACCACGCCGCGCCGAGAGCACCAAGGUGAUGGACGAUGGCGAGGCCUAGGAAGGGGACGACGCGGAGCCGGGGAAGACGCGACAGUGGAAGCCCGCGCGGAGAGGAGUACGUGGGUUCACUGGUUCGGCUGCGGUGUGAGGCUGCGGUCGCCGCGGAAUAAAGGGGUGUGGGUGAGUAGAGGGAUGGCCUGGCCAGCGGUGGGAGUAGUAGGGGGCGGUGAGGCCUCCGCGGCAUCACAGCCGGCCACGGGAGGCAGGAGCACGCGGCACGACCGGCGCUGCUUUGGGAGGCUGGAGCAAGAAGACCAGAGGUUGAAGAAGCACUACGGCCGUUGGAUGGACAUUGUACGGUCACUGCAGCUAGAAUCAUUUAUAUUGACUAAGUUGACAAAGCCCUUGGUACGCGUCAACUUAGUAGGCCCACAGGUCAGCCUCCGAAACGGUGCGCCCCAGAUGUCAGGGGGAGGAAUCAUUUUUUGGGCGGCUGAAUCAAGAAUAUCCGACAUUGAAGAAGAAGCACGACAUCCGUUGGAUGGACAUCCAACGGCCACAGCUGCCAGAACGGUGUGUUGUUGACAAAGCCUUGCAUACGUGUCAAUUUAGUUUUCUUUAGGGGACGCGUCAACUUAGAAGGCCCACAAUGUGUGGCAGAGAACAUAUAGCCCAUUUGCGAUUUGUAAGAAUGUACAACCCAUUUUUUAAUUCUAAUGGAAUUUACUACAGCCCAUUUACAGUUUGUUAAAAGUACAACCCAUUUUCUAGCUACGACAACGAUUAAUAAUUUCAACCAACCGCUCAAAACUAAAUUAAAAAAAAAUUCCCACAUUUUUAUGGGAUCACAAAUAUUUUUAUCCGAAAUUUCUAGUUAGAUUAAAUAUAAUUUCAAAAUAAAGUUGUAUUACGUUAAAAUCCAACGAAAUAUUGCGCGCGCAACAAGUAAGGAAAUUAAAAUUUUCAAAUUCCAAAAAUAAUAUAUUUUUUAAACUAAUUACGCGUUUGGUGCAUCUUUUUAUAGUUACUGCCCAUUUAUUAUAAUUACAUCCCAUUUAUUAUUUCUUAAAGUCCAUUUUCUUGUUAAGCCUAAUGCAUACCUCCUAGGAAAGUUUGCAGCCCGGCGGGGCGGAGAAUAACAAGUUGACCCGGAUAUUGUGUACAACUGUCGGCCCAGUUGCAUUGCUGAUGUUGAAAAAAGGCCUGUGUAGUACAGUACAACCUAACAUGGCUACUCAGCCCACAUUCAGCGACGCCGAAAAGGCCCAAACAAGGCUUCUGUACAACUUUUUUAAGUCACUGAGCUCAAUUAAUAACUUAAGAAAAAAGUUAGAUUACAGUGGAACCUAAUUAAAAGCUGUCACGAGCAAAGAAAUAAUUCAACGGGUCUCACUUGUGCGUGUGCGUGUGUGUGUGUGUGUGUGUGAGAGAGAGAGAGAGAGAGACCCAUCGGUCGAUGCUCGUAAAUACAUCUUUCAGCCAUAUGCAUUGCUGAUGCUCAGUAAAAACUUAUAUAGUUGACACAAUCAUAUAGAACACCAUAGCACACGUAACUUGCAUACAAAAAUUUCACGCAGGCGGCACAAUCAGGAUGGAAGCAGUGGAUCGCUACGGGUAGGGCUAUGUUGAAACCAACGAACUCGUACAUAACGGUUCAUCUUCUUUAUCAAUGACAGGGAAAUAUCUUGAAUGCUGUGCAAAGAAAACAGACAGACAAUACAGUAAGUUCUGCUAGCACAUUAAGUUGACGUACAACCCUUUCUUAAAAAAGUUCAGGUACAAAAUUAGAACAGGUCACAAUCAAAUGUACUGACACAUCAGUGCUUCACACCCAUAGCUCGGAUUUAACUAGUAGUAUCUGACAAGAUUCAGUUGUUACCUCAAAUUAGAGCACAUCCAGGAAGCCAGCCAUGCCUCUUCUCCCAAAGAAGCAGUGGCCUCCGCCGCGCGAUGGAGUAGGCCUUGUGCCAUCCAUCGUUCCGAGCAACACGGGGAAAGUCUGACGUUGACUCCUGUAAUGGACGUCGUCGACGGACCCUGGCACCAGCGGCGGCGGCAGGACUUCGAUUGAUGGAUUGACCACUUCUUCGACAUGCACAAACACUCGAUACAGGUACAUCCCUAACGUGGUCCGCGGAGGCCUUGGUGGCGACGAAUAGUACAACCCUGGUUCCUGCACCGGUAUCUCAACACCAAUCACCUUCGGUAUGGUGGACGGCUUCUUCAUCCAUGCCAUAACCGUCAGAGCCCAGCUGUCUGGAGGAACAAACAUACUUACGAGCUCACCUCCAAGGUCGUUGAUAAGCUCAUUCAUGGACUCGCUGUUCCAAGCACGUCGAGGCAUGCCGUGGAAGGUAAGCUUUGUUAAAAACUCAAGCUCAAAGGGCACCGAGCCCCAUCCUGGGUGCCACCGAUCAAAGCUCACCAGCGCGCCAUCACAGAACAAACGCCGGGAAGAUUCGAACACACGACUGCAGUCGAAAGUUGUCUGGAACCUGACGAAGAAAUUAGCCGGUGGCGGACAGACUUCGACGAGCAAGUCACUUAUUUGGAUGCCGUGCGCAAUGCCAAGAGCUUUGACAAGGUCGUCCGGCAAGACGGUAGGCCGGUCGCCGUUGAUGGUUACCAUCAGCACUUUACCGGCAAACUGGUCGUCAAGCGCCGCCAUGCCACUGUUGAGCGACUGCACGCAGCGACCGAAGGCAGGACGGACCUCAGGAUCUCCGGCUCGGAGAUCCGCGUUGACCGGCGACAUGAUAGUGAGCUUGAGUACAGGGAGUACAGGAGGGGGAUUUGGGGGAACUGGAGUAGGAAUCGAGAUUCCAGAGGUGGGGGAGGGCGGGAGAUUGGGGAUGAAAAGGUAGCUUGAAUUUCGAACACGCGCCAAUACGCUCUCGGCGCGCAAGCGCACGAAAACACCGGUGGCGCCCACAUGUCGGCCUAAGAGUCCUUAUUCUUUCUUUUUUGGAGAGCCUGGCCUUUUUUAGGAUCUUUUGAGAGCCCGGUCUGAGAGUCAUAAUUGACCUGUUUGGCUUGCGUUACUACUCGGCCCAUAUUCAACGACACCUCACUGGCCCAAACAAGUGUACAUCAUCGAAAAGACACUGAGCUCAAAUUAUAUAACUUGAAAAAGGAGAUACACUCUAAACACUGGAGAAUGGUGAUGCCCUCAUUUAGCCCACCAGUAGUUCGAGACAAUAAACAGUUCGAAACAAUGAUAUAUACAACAUUCAAACACUGACUAAUGACUACUACUGACAUAAACAACAAGACAUGAUAGUUCAUAAGAAGUCUUGCUACACCACCAAAACGCACCCAUCUGCAGCGCUCAGACUCUCCUGAUCCAGAUGAGAAUGACAUUCUAAACAGAGCCAACUAUUACAUAGUAAGAGUGACAUAGACGAGGAUGACCAAAUGACAAGGAAUAUGCAUAACAAAAGAAAGAACUACCCAUCCAGAACAAGCAGCAAAGACAACAAAGUCAUUCGAAGAGAUGAUCCAACACCAUCAUAAUUUGCAGCCCCGCUUCAGCGACCAAUGAUCCGGAGACACCAGUACUCCACCCUUUCGACGCAACAGCCCAAUUACCUAUCAACCUGAAGGCUUGAACCACAUCACUGCCAGUCGUAAUUGAGACAUCCAAGGAUCAAAGUUAAUCCGGAUGCCUUUGUCAUUCUCACCUUCUUUUGGCUGUAGGCUGUAUCAUUGACAAUCAGGGGAGUUUGCUCCCGAACUCCUAGGGCUCUCCGUGUAGACAUAGUUUUCCAUAGCAAACAGAGCCUCUCUGCCAUCAAGGUCCUUGCCAACGGUGAUCUCCUGGUUAAUCGGAUAAUUGAGUCCGAGAAACAGAGAGUGUGAACCAAAGCUGUUUACCCGCCUCCAACUAAAAAAUCCUGAAGGCCCCAACAAGCUGGUAUCCUGCUCAUGGACGUAACAGCCACUGUCCGGAUACUCACGUAUUUCACGGUGCUUGUAUACAGUGGGGUUUUUACAAUAUAAAUUUUCCGGCUCAUGUGUCCGAAUGAUCAUCAGUCUUUUGCCGUCAUCUGAUCGAGCGAGGAACCAGUUGUGCUUCCUUGUUUUUGGCAAAGGUGGUGUGAUUACAAAGGGCAGUAACUGUAGGGACACUGCAUCAUAUCAAAAAGCACAUGCAUUGUUAAUGUAAGAUCAGCAUUGUUCAGAGUAUGAGUAGGAUAAUGCAAGAAACAGCAUUGAUAUGUCCCUAUUGGAACUGGGAGGAAAAUACAGGGAAAUGUAUACUGGGUUCGAAAAUAUAGAAGUGUCAUGCAUGGUUAUACUCAUGUUAUCUCGCAAUCGAUUCUUCACAGGAAACUACCAUGUCAUGCAUGUUAUGGAAUCAUGUUCUGUCCUCACAAACAAAUUCUUCAAGGUAACUAACAGACCAUGCAUUGUUAUAUACUCGUGUUCUGUGGGCAACAUUUUUGUGAGGAUAUUAUUCUAGCCAUUGAUUGCUGAAGGGCGAAUAUAGGUAUGUACACAUGGUAAGCAUUACAGGAUUUCACUACUUCCAAAUAUAGAGUUCUCCAUAUGCACAUUUACUUCCCUAAUGUAUGGUUAGAUGAAACCAACAGUGUGGUGCAUGUUUCUACAUCAUGAAAAUGAGGAAACUAACAUGGCCAUUGAUACACACUCAUAUUUAGUAGUAGUAUAUAGAUUACUGUAAAAUAAGGAGAAUAUCCAUAUAUUCCUAACCGUUUGAUUAUUCAGGGGUACAAAUUGGCUGUAAUGACAUGAUCACAAUCGCAUGAAUUAACUCAUUCCAAAUAUAGUUGAUUUACGGCGUCUCUAAUACAUUGCCAUAGUUCUACUCAAAUUCUGCUCAAACAAGGAUAUGCCAAUCAUCACAAAAAGUUCAAAUAGUGUCAUGGCAUCAUCAUUAACAUGAGACAGAAACAACUUACACGCGCUGUCCCAGCAAUACGUGGUGCCAUCUGCUUUGUCGAUCGCGUAGAUGAUGCCAUUGUGUUCAAUAGCAUCACAGAAGUGUGUAUCAGCUUUGACGAUGAUCCACUACGAGCUGAGUUGUCUCCAUCUAAAGAAGGCACCGGCGUAAAGAUAGGCGAGUCCCUUGUCGAACAAGGCAAUUAGCUUGAAGUCUGCGUAAUCCGCAUGUUGUGUGGGCACUUGGCAGAUUACAAUCUUGUGCAAAACAAGGUCUGUCCAUGCGGUAAUCUAGAUGACUAGGACCGCGAUGGUAAUACUCUAUAUAAUCCAACGAAGGAAGGAUAAUCUCAUGGGAGGUCUGGAAGUUCACGAGCACCAACGUUUUACCAUCUUCUCUGACGGCAGCCAUCCAGUGGGAGUUCAUGCCGACCCAGUACAGACCUGCCAAGAAGUUUCGGGCGAUGGUGAUCAGAUCAAAGUCGAGGGAAAUGAUGUACGACGACCCACUACAUACCUGCACAGAAGUUUCAGCUAAUGGAGAUCGGAUGGAAGUUGAGGGGCAUCAUGUACGCCUCCGUAUCAUGGUGAGCCAAUCUCUCAAGACCAGAUAGCAGCAAGCAGGGUGUCUUGAAAAGCUUAGGCCUCGCUUCAAUGAUGGCCGUGUGCAUGCCCCUCGAGCAUGCAGCCAGCUGUAGGGCGCUCAACAUAUCCAUACAUGAACAACAGAGGUCGAGGACAUCACUGGGGAGAUAGCUCCAAUCGCGGCUCAUAUGGAUCCUGCGCGGUUCGCGUUCGGCCAUGGUAGAGUUUCGAAGGUGGGGUUUUGGGGGGCUUGAUUUACGGGGGAGAAGGCUGUCGGUGCUGGAGCGGCUAGCGAGGGAAUAGUGGUACUGGGGGAGGCGAGCAAGGCGAGGGUAUGCGGGGGCACAGUGAGAUAAUGAAGAGUGACCUCAGGAUCUCCGGCGAGACGGAGAUGGAGAUGGAGUGGUGCUAGGGGAGAGGGAUACGAGGCGAGGCAUGCUAUACAGCGGCGGUGACAGUGACUGCACGGUGCACAAGGUGAGGCUGACUUUGGUAACCCGGACACGCCGCCUGGACUGGUGUCACCUCGGGCGCAGGGUCUUGUCACUUCACUGUGAGGACCGGAUGAAUAAUAGUAUUUUGACCAUCAAGUGUACCACAGUUGUACUACUACUACUAGUAGGAGUAGUAGGAACAUGAGUACACUCCCGUGCUAGCAUGCCUCUGGGUUCACUUCAUCCUCCAGCUAUCCUCCAUAUUGCGAGCGGAACCAAAUUCUCAUGCAUGCGGAAGCGCGAAUAAGGACUUUUCUUUUUGAGGAUAACCGCAUAUUCCUUAACCGUAGUAGGAACAUGAGUAGUACUCCCUCUGGUCCUCUUUUGUCUGCGCAUAACUUUUUUCAGUAUUUCUCUAAUUAGUCUGCGUAUAUAACCUUUUGCAUGCGCCCAUUUCCCUCCAUGCCUCGCAUUCACAGCAUUAAUUAGCGUACGCAUGAGCAGCUGCAGCCCGACUCCAGCCAAUAAACUGCAGCAUGCAAGUGGGCCACUCUGUGCACGUGGGAGAGAGAAAAGGCAACCGAAGAGCCCAUCCAAUCCAUUGCAUGCAGCAGUCAAACCACCGCACCUCUCCUCAUGCAUGCGCAUAACUUCUCCCAUUUACUUCUCCAUCGGGAACCGAUUUUCCUCGGCUUUUUCACUACUCCUUGAUCUUCAUUUGCAUCCAAACCACACUGCAUUCACAUUGUUUUAACCUCUUCACAUCCUCCUGGAGUAAUUCCGAGGCCCCUAUAAAUAAUCAUCUUCUUCAGUUAGAUUAGCCAUCUAAUCCUAAUUCUCCAAACCAUAGCCCUCCGGUCCAGCGGUUCCAAAUGGCGAAAGAGAUCGAGAUGCAGGUUUUUAGAGUCCAACAUGUCCUCGUCGAAGGCUCGUUGAGCAUAGUUGCCACAGUCACCGACCAGCCAAGGGUUGUUCGGAAGCGGAUCAACAAUGUAUCCAACUCCCUCCAAAAGGUGGAGAUGAAUGUCAUCGGUCUUGACGCAGAGUACACAGAGCGUGCCACUGGGAAGAUCCAACGUGCCGCUGUCCUUCAGCUGUGCCUCGAAGAUGAUGUUUUGGUGUACCACAUCAUACACGCGCCCUCCAUACCAGGUGAGCUUCACGUUUUCUUGUCUCGGGAGGACAUAUACUUCUGUGGGGCAGCCAUCGCAGGGGACAAACAGAAGUUGGAGCCGUACAACCUUGAUUUGAAAAGCAUCGCUGACCUACAAACCAGAAUAAAAAUUCCUGUAGAAGAUUGUGAUAAACCGACACCAUCCCUAUUCGACGUAGCAAAUUUUGUGCUAGGAACAAAUCUUCAGAAGGGUGACGAGAUGCUGGCAUUAAGGUCGUCUGGAUGGGAGAAUUAUCCCUUGACGUACGAGCGGAUAAAAUAUGCUGCCCUCGAUGCCCGUGUGAGUUUCGAGAUAGCUGCAAGGUCCAGAGAGCUUGUUGCGAAGCCGUCUGCCACAGAAAAUGAGAACAAGAAGAAGAAGAAGAAGAAGAAGAUGCUGCACCAGCAGCAGGGCAUUAUGGAUGGAUGAACUAUUUCCUCUCUUUUAAAAAGAAUAUUCCCUCUCUAUGUAUAUUGAUAUAGAUGGACUAUUUCGAUGGUGUGCAUGUCUUUGGAACAAGUAGUAGCGUGGGUCUGCUUGACUAUAAGGAACUAUUUAUCCGCCUAGCUUUCUCUACUACUCCUUCUAGUGAUCGGUAUGCAAUGCAUGUGUCCGUAGACAUGACAGCUUGUCCAUGGAAGUUCAACUACGGCGACCAUCACGUUUCAUCCACUGCCACUCGCGAUUCCCACGACGCCGCCCCAACCCACGACACCACAUCCCCCGACGUGCGCCUCACCCCUCUCGGCCGCACCGCCCCUCUGCCUUUGUGUGCAUGACAUGUGGGCCACCUUAAAUGCGGCGAGCAUCAAGUUUCUACCACAGCCACACGCGAUUGCCACGACGCCGCACGAACCCAUGACACCACACGUCCCGCACCAUCGAAUUUUCAUCCAGCGGCUGUGACACAUUUCGUCCCGGGCAUCAAUCCUCAGCUGGAGUACUUCUGCACUACAGGUUGUACCCGCCGGUGUGGCCAUCUACGCCUCGUAACGCCCCGAUGCCCAGCUAUGGCACCCUCGCCACGGCCACGCCACCACUGCCGGUUCAUCUCGAACGAGUGAGUCGCGAACCACACAACCACCAUGAGAAUGACAUGUGGGCCAGCCGCAUUUAACGUCCGCAUGUCAUUGACUCAGAGCAUGGUUAAUAAUAUAGCCGGCUGCUGGCUAUAUGAUGUUGCCACGUCACAUAUAGCCAAGCUUGUAGCCAGCAAGUACAAUAGUUGAAUAUUAAUAUGUACUACUUUGUUGUUACAUGACCCACCUCGCUCUCUCAUAAAAUUCCUAGGAGCACGUGCUGCAGCCGGCUGUUAACUAGUAGCACGCUUCUCUUCUCUUUCAUCUUCUCUCUCAUCCAACUAAGCAAAAAUAUAAUAUUUAAUGUCUUACAGCCUGCUUACAUCACCUUAUUGUACUUGCUCUCAUAGGCCGGGCACUAAGCCACUGAAGUUCGGUCCCGUGGGCCCUGAGAGGGAAAUGUAGCUCCUGCGGCAGGCCUUGUGGUGCUCCCGCAGUACGAGCUCGUGCCAAACCUGGAAUUUGUUUCUUACUGCUACCAACUACUAGUAAGGUACACGUGCAUUGCACGCAUGAGAUUCUGGUGGUUUGUGCAUUAUGCUUCUACAUGUGGAGUCUUCUAGAUUCUACAUGUGCAAAAUCUGGUGGAAUGUAGAUGAUAUCCAACGGCCAGUAGUGCUCGGAUUUGCCAUCUUUGUACCGUCGGAUUGGCUUCAUCCAACGACCAACUUUCAAAGUUAUGGUUUGGUUUGCAGCCUAAGGUUGCCACGCCUAAGCUUAGGCGUGCCGGCAUGUGUUUGGUUCAUUGCUGCACUUGUGGCUUGCCACACUUUCCUAGCUACAUGGUCCACAUGUCAUAGACUCAACUUCUUGCCAAAUCUUGCCACACUUGUGGUGGCCAUUUUGUUAGCCACAUUUUUUGUGGCAGACACACUUUGCCUAAGCUUAGUUGUGGCAAAGUUAGUCAUGAAUGAAGUUCAACCAUGGAGUCUUCUAGAUUCUACAUGUGGCGGAAUCUGGUGGAAUGUAGAUGAUAUCCAACGGCCAGUAGUGCUCGGAUUUGCCAUCUUUGUACCGUCGGAUUGGCUUCAUCCAACGACCUACUUUCAAAGUUAUUCACACACUAUAUAGGGGGUAUAGAUAUAGAUGUGCCGGCCCGUUGCAAUGGAUCCAAAGUAUAUCUGUUUAGUGGAGUGCACUCUAAACACAUUAUCUAUUUAUUUUUCUCUAACCUUUCGUAGCCAUGCAACCAAGCCUCAUAAGCUUCAUGGGUGCCCCCACAUCAUAUUAUUCAUACUACAUUGACAGAAAAAGUAUAAAUCACCCAAAACAAGAUCUUCCCGUUUUUUGUUCCUAUGAUGCUGUGCCGUGCACGUACCUACUAGUUGUAUAGUGGUAGUACUAGUUGUAUAGUACAAACUUGGUACUAGUAGGAGCAGAGUAGUACGGAAUGCUCCUACUCUAUCAACGAGCCCCAUCUGACACCAAAAUUCUUGGCUUCCGUGCUACAGCUAGAUCUUCCCCUCGUUUCUGUUUUCCAACCCGGCGGCGGGCGGGGUGCGGUUUGCCAAUAGUCGGUUUGCUCAACGGCGGUCCCACAUGAAAGUGAAAAUGCUAGGCAACUCGCCUUCCCUAAGCUAUGUGUCGUGACGGACGGGCCGUGCAGUACUCCCGAUUCCCGGGCGUGUGUGGGGGGAGUGCGACGCGAAUGCGGCAUGCCUUUUCCUUUUACUAGCAAUGUGCCUAUGCGUUGCGACGGAUCCAAAGUAGUAGAAUAGUAGUACUUGUUCACAAACUUGAAAGAAAUCACUCUUGUUUUGAUAUACUCCUAAUAUAUUACUCCCUCCGUUCCAAAAUAUUUGACUUUUUAGAGAUUUCAAAUGGACUAUCACAUACGGAUUAUAUAGACAUAUUUUGAAGUGUAGAUUCACUCAUUUUGCUCCGUAUGUAUUCACUUAUUGAAAAAUCUCUAGAAAGACAAAUAUUUAGAAGUGGACCGUAAGUGCUACUCCCUCUGUCCAGGUCAAUAAGUCAUCUUUGGUUGUGCACCGUGACCAAGAAGGAGGGAAGACUUAUACACCUAGACGGAGGGAGUACUACUAUUACUUAUGUACGUGCAAAUGCACGUUUUAACAUUAAGAUGCGGUUUUUGUAAAAGUAGAAAAACAACACUAGUCAAGCUUGUGAAACGAUUCAAUCCAAAACAAAUGCAAAAAUGCUCGUUUGAUUGUUUACUUUUAGCUUCCUUCUCUGUGGUUAUUUCUCUGUCGUACUUUGUACGGAGUAUCUCACUGGUUGGAAAGGCAUGCAAAUUCCCAAACCGCUUCCUACACCCUGUAUCGAAUUUUUUGCCUAACAAGUUGUGCCGUGCAAUUGGAAUUCCAACUUGAGUACUACUACUAGUAGGAGUACCAGGGGUCAGUUCUUUUAGGCUUCCAGAUUAGUAAUCCCAUAACUACUACCUCCGUCCUGGUUUAUUGGUCCCCAUUGUAAUCUGUGUCAAAUUUUGAUCAUAAAUUUAACUAAUGAAAUGUUAGUGCAUGUCACAUGCACUAACAUUUUAUCAGUUAAAUCUUUGGUCAAAAUUUAGCACAAAUUAUAAUGGUGAGGAAUAAACCAGGACGGAGGUACUACUAGUAGUAGUUUAGAAGCCCAAAUAAAUGAGUGAGGCGCCUUAAUGUUACUCUCCACUGUGACUAGUCUUAUGGGAAAAGAUGGGGAAGCCGCCAAAAGAACUGGCCCUAGGAGUAGUAGCUAGGGAUACUAGGAGUAGUAGCUAGGGAUCGAGUGUGCGAGAUGAACCGGAGAAAGUAAAUGCAGAGAGAUGAAAAUCAAAAAAGACGGAGGGAUGUGAUGGUUGCUUGUCCGUUUAUUUUACCAGGCCACUUAUUACUGGGAGUGGUUGGGUUUUGUGAUAUGACGGCUUUACUGCCGCGCCACGAGCGGGGUGAUACUCCCGUGCAGCGCCGCCCUCUACACUAGUACGACUACAUCGGUCGUGGUUUAUCCCCCAUUGAAUUUGACUGAAGAUUUAACUGACAAAAUGUUAGUGCAUGUAAAAAAAAAUAUCGUUGGAUUCGUAUUUGAACAUAGUUUUCAAUGAUACUCCUAUAAUUUUAGGUGACAUGCAUCAUCAUUUAUCGUACUAUAUAUAAUGUUAGUACAAUUUUUGGUCGUACUAAUCUAUAGUAGUAAGGUGCCCGUGCGUUGCACGGAAGAGUGGAAUGCAUUGAUCGGGGAGUUGUUUAUUUUGACAAAGGAUGUGGGGGUCAUCUCAUGUGUAACGGGUAACGAUAGGUCUGUUCGGAUAUUAUUUCAUCACUAGAGCUCACAAACAUCCGGGUGAAAUAGAUAAAUAAGUAUCUUUUGCAAACAAAAGCGUUCAACUGUUCAACCUGCAUCCAAAACUUGUGAAGAAAUAACUCUUAUUGUGCUUUGCAUGAAAUGAUCUUCAAGAAUUAGUUUUUGAGUAUCCAUUGUUAUACAUGUUGGCUACAGAUGACAUGGCACUUUCUUAUAGUCAACAGUUGGCUAUACUAUUUAAGUAUUAACCAUGCCCUUAUACACCUAGACGGAGGAAUUAAAUCAGGAUGACUUGGGAGGGGGCAGAGGAUAUGUAAGAAAUGGUUCAUCAUAAGUCUUUCACCAGUACUGUAGUAAAAAUUCAUACAUGGAAGAUUCUAGACUAAACCAUAAAUGGAUACACUUUUAUUCAUGCGCGAUACUCCAAUAGAGCAAGAUCAUGCAUGGAAGUCUCCACAUGCUUAGACAGCGGAUUACAUUGAGCGAAGACUAAUGAUCAACAUUUAACUUGAUAAUGCAGAUGUCAAGGUGAACCUCCUUGGAGUCCCCGUGCACAUCGUUGGGGUUCAAAUAACACCGUGCCCUUUCCAUGUCCACAUCGGCGGGAAAGUCCCAGCUCGGCAGAGUCCAAGUAUGUUGGUGUAGCCAGUGUCGCCGCCCACGUACCUCCGAGGGGUAGUAAUAGUGAGCAUGCACGCGUACAUCGGCCUCGUGUUAGUGUCAGUGUCAGCGACGUCGCCCCUGACGCACACUACAGAGAUGUGGCGGCGGCCUGCGCGGGCCUCGCCGGGGGCCACGAUCAAGAGGAAGACGCUGUCGUCCUCCUCCGAGACAAGCAGGCGGCGCUGAUCCUCCAGCGACUCCGGCACGGUGAACGGGUAGCACGUCUCGUACUUGAUGUUCUUCGCCAAGGGCCAGUAGUGAUUGCCGCACGCCUACGUCAGGUGAUGCACGAUGUCCGCCGGCGAGCCCCAAAACGGCACCGGGCACUCAUAGCAGUAGACGAAGGGCUCCUUGGAGGCAUCGAUCAGGCCGUCCAUGAAACGGGAGUGGCUGUAGGGGACGUUCCGCCAGUUGAAUAUAUGAGCAAGUUACUAUGAGAUUUACUACAAAAUAAAUCAUGAUGGCUAUAACAAAGAUUAAACUAAUCAUGUGGACUAGCAUAGUAGAUGAACAGAUCGAAGCUAGGACACAGACUAGAAACAUGAAUUCUACCACGAUUUCGAACAGGAAGGACAGAAACACAUAUGGUGCUACGGGAGCAGCACCAUUGGCGUUGAGGUUGUCGCCCAUGUCGUUGAGGAAGAGGUUGCCGAGGUCGGGGAAGAAGUCGUCGUCGGUGAAGUCGUCGCUGCUAGCAGUCGCGAGAGUGCGCUCCCCAAAUUUCAACAGCGCCCGCCGAAUGGAGCGCAAGAGGGAGUGGCUGUACGGGACGUUGCGGCCGCCGAAUGGAGCGCAGGAGUAGCCCACGAAGCAGUAGAUGGUGCUCCUCCCUAGUCUCUAUUCUUAUCUCUAUCUCUACUACUCUUCUUUGUUUUUUAUAAUAUACUAGUUGUAGUUGUCAAAUCGAAUAGUACUGCACCGUCCACUGCACGCCCGGCUGAACACGCCUCCUCGCCUCCAUCAAACCCCUCCGUUAAACCCAGAUGCAAACCGAGAAACCUACUCCGGCCACACGUCCGUUCAUGAGCGGUCCAGAAUUAAACGCAACACCGGCCGAGCUCCAAACACCGGCCAAGCUCCUACCGUCCGCCCUCUAUUUACACGAGGCCAGACAGACAGCGGGCAAGAAUCGCACCCCUCCGCCGCCUCCCCAUCUCCGCCUUCACCAAUUUCUCCACUCUUCCGAUGGCUUCCGAGGAGCCGUUCUCUGGCAUAUUACCCAGCUGGGUGGCCCGCCAAGCCCUCCAGAUACAGGCGAGGCCGCUCAGUGCUUCACCAACCUCGCUUGGCCCGACGGAGCCAGUUGCCGCCCCAAGCAGGCGCGUGGUUCAGCAACUCGCCGCUCCAGUUCAGCUCGAUGAGGAGUGGCGAGUUGCUCCACGCCAGCACGGCGGCGAGCACACCGGUACGGGCGUCGUCGCUGCCGCGUCGUACCGCGCCUCCCGUGCCUGCGGCAGCGCCAUGCAGGCAGAGACAGAAGUCGGGUGCGUGGACAGCGAUGAGUCGGUGGCCAGCUUCUCCGUGUCUGCCGCCAUCAUCGAGGAGAAGUAGAACACGGGAGGCCGCCGCCACUCGGGUCCCAUGAAGGCCACCGCCGAGGCGACGACUGCGCAUUCAGGUAGUUUGUUUGCUUCUUCGUCUCUUCCGAGGACCUUCGUCGACCCCGCUAAGUGUCUGCCGGACAUGAGGAAGACAAAGGGAUCCGCGGGCGGCCAUUUAGAUUAUGUACCCCCUCUCCAGCUGGCGGGAUUUUUUUUCUAAGAAUGGACAAAUUGUAUGUAUCUAUAACUAAAAUAAGUCUAGAUACAUCCAUUUCUAGGACAAGUAUUUCCGGACGGAGGGAGUAUUAAUUAUACCAAGAUAGCCGGAUUGGCACCGCUUAGUUCAUGUAAAUGUAAUGAAAUCCAUCAUGUUUAUAUGAAGAUCCGGCUUUUUUAUACGAAAUCCUUCAUGCUUAUAUGAAAUCAGUCCGUGUUUGCACGAAUUUCAUCUGGUUGGUUAGAGUUGUGAAAAUGUAUGCCGCUGGCGUUUGAUGUCGUCCUUCGCGGAAGGAAACGGGAGGAAAUUUGCCGCCUGCCAUUGGAGAUGCUCUUAUGCUGGAAAUAAUAGAGUGACAUCCAAUCCAUUUGAGUUAAUUGCGUGUAUGAUUGUCCCUCUAUAAAAAGUUAAUUGCAUGUACAGUGUACACGUGACUUGCAGGGUGGCUACAUCUUCGUACAGAAAGUUAAAAAGAAACAAGUCCAUCCUUACUCUUAUAUUCUAAGUACUCUGUGGGUUCCACUGUCAGUACAGUAGCGAAAGAAGUAUAUAUUAAAUAAGUAAUAUAUAAUAUAAAAAUCUAAAGUUAAAGACAGAAUUCGAACUCAUGUCAUCGCGUUGCGAGCAUCCGGCGCUAACCAGUCCAGCACAUUUUUGUUGUAGACCAUGCUGCUGAUAUAUCUCCAUGUCUACUCUUAUACUCCAUCCGUUCCUAAAUAUUUUUCUUUUUCAGAUUUCAAAUGGACUACCACAUACGGAUGUGUAUGUAGACAUAUUUUAGAGUGUAGAUUCACUCAUUUUGCUCCAUAUGUAGUCACUUGUUGAAAUCUCAAAAAAGACAAAUAUUUAGGAACGGAGGGAGUAGAAAACAGAGUUGGUGAUGAUGGUGUGCGUGCCAUCCUGCAAUAUAGGUCGUCGGAUUUAUAUCUAACGGAUAGGAAGAAAACUAUGGAAAUUUUGCAAAAAUUUACCCACACCCCUCUCCACGUUCGCAAAUACGGCCUUCCCUCGUUCAUCCUUUUCUCUCACAAGAUAAACUACUCAUACAAAUGCAUCUUGAUUUUCCGUGCAACGCACGGGCAUCUAGCUAGUUUCUUUUAAAAUAGUUACUGCGAUAAUUGGGUUGAAGUGAUAUAUUUUAUGUCUGCCCCGAAUGAUUUCGGAUUCACUAGUAGUAACAAAGAAAAGAUUGCCUUGUUAAUUAAUAGAAAAUAGGGUGAAAACUAUCACAUGAGGCCGGUAAAAACGAGUCACACUGGGUUCAGCAUCAUCGUCACUAUAGCUGUGCGCGCGAGAGAAGUCUACAUAUCGAGGGGGCUACUGAGCGAGGCACAGAGACACAAUGUUCGAGAGAGAAACCAAUUGACAGAUUACGAUCAGAUUGAGUUGUCACCNNNNNNNNNNNNNNNNNNNNNNNNNNNNNNNNNNNNNNNNNNNNNNNNNNNNNNNNNNNNNNNNNNNNNNNNNNNNNNNNNNNNNNNNNNNNNNNNNNNNNNNNNNNNNNNNNNNNNNNNNNNNNNNNNNNNNNNNNNNNNNNNNNNNNNNNNNNNNNNNNNNNNNNNNNNNNNNNNNNNNNNNNNNNNNNNNNNNNNNNNNNNNNNNNNNNNNNNNNNNNNNNNNNNNNNNNNNNNNNNNNNNNNNNNNNNNNNNNNNNNNNNNNNNNNNNNNNNNNNNNNNNNNNNNNNNNNNNNNNNNNNNNNNNNNNNNNNNNNNNNNNNNNNNNNNNNNNNNNNNNNNNNNNNNNNNNNNNNNNNNNNNNNNNNNNNNNNNNNNNNNNNNNNNNNNNNNNNNNNNNNNNNNNNNNNNNNNNNNNNNNNNNNNNNNNNNNNNNNNNNNNNNNNNNNNNNNNNNNNNNNNNNNNNNNNNNNNNNNNNNNNNNNNNNNNNNNNNNNNNNNNNNNNNNNNNNNNNNNNNNNNNNNNNNNNNNNNNNNNNNNNNNNNNNNNNNNNNNNNNNNNNNNNNNNNNNNNNNNNNNNNNNNNNNNNNNNNNNNNNNNNNNNNNNNNNNNNNNNNNNNNNNNNNNNNNNNNNNNNNNNNNNNNNNNNNNNNNNNNNNNNNNNNNACCUACUCUUAUAAAAAACAGAGUUGGUGAUGAUGGUGUUCCUGCCAUCCUGCAAUAUAGGCCAUCCGAUUUAUACCCGACGGAUAGGAAGGAAACUGUGGCAAUUUUGCAAAAAGAUACCCACACCCCUCUCCGCAGUUGCAAAUAAGGCAUUCCCUCGUUCAUCCUUUUCUCCCACAAGAUAAACUACUCAUACAAAUGCAUCUUGAUGUUCGGUGCAACGCAUGGGCAUCUUGCUAGUAGGGAGAAGGAGUUUGUGUGGCACAUAUCUAGCUAUAUUAAGGGAUAGGUAGAUAGCAUUUGUGCGAGGCAUACUUAAAGCAUCACGAAGAUAAACAAAAUUGUGUGCAUGCAAGUGCCGGAAAAAAUGAAGCGAGAAACAAUGUGUUGGAGAGAGAGAGAGAGCGAAAUCUCAAAACAAAAGGUGCUCUGUUGGAAUCCCAUUGUAUGUAUUCAUAUGGUUCCGGAACUCAAGUUAACCUUAGGCAUAUGUGUGAGAGACAUUAUUAUACUUUGAGACAUUAGUGGCUGUGGGUGGGCGGAAUUAAAGGGGUGGGCGUGUUCGACAGAGAGAGCGUGUGUGUUUCUGUGUGAGAGACUUGUAGGACAGGGUAGAAAGACGAAUUCUAACCUUGACAGAGGGAGAGAAAUACACGAAGUGCGCGUGUGUGAUUCCGAUGACCACAGGGAAAUGAGAUAUGUAUGCGUGUGAGAGAGAUUGCACAAUUCAUUCACAUAACACUAUCUAGCAAUCGUGGACGUGCAUCGCUUGAACAUAAAUCAAUAUCUACUUCGUAUCGUGGCCAAAGGUACAAUAUCGAUUCAACGCUAUAAAGAUUGGACACUCACAUAUCACAUUUUUUCUAUUUAGAUAAACCUUUUCAGUUGUGCAUGCCAAAGUUACAGUGAUGUUUCUUCAAACAACCAAUGUAGCUAUCAUGUACAUGCACCAUUGUUACUCUUGCAUUCAAAAUCAUUAGUCUUGGAUGAUUUAAGGUUCUAUUAUGAAGUAAUAUAUGUAAUAUUCCUAUAUGAAUUCAACGGUACGCAAUUUAUGAAAUGGAGGCUAUGUAAUCAUAUGAGGUAACACUUUUAAGUAGCGGACUUCUUUUUGUGCGCCUCUACACUAACACGUCAAUGCAUUAUGUUUAAAGUAAAUAACCAAUUGCACUAAAUUAUCUAUUUACACGAGAAAUACAUAGGCUGAGCGUUUGAUCCCUUUUUUGUGAACGCGCCACUACACCCGUACGAUUGGCCGCGCCCGUGUGACUCGGCGCAUCAUCCCGCGUUAUUGUCUUUUUUUCUGGGGUGGACACACCAGUUAUUAACUCCUGACGCGUGCCUCGUGUACACAGUCUCGCAUCACCUUCCCGCUAGCACGGUCCAAAAUUAGUUGAAACUGGAUACGAACGAUUCCGCGGGCGGCAAAAUCUCCCGCCUCCUUCUAAAAUUUCCGCCACCUUAGUCUUUAGCAUGCGAAAUUCCCCUUUUGUCCUUGGUGCACGGAGACCAACAGUUACAAUACCGCCCUCAUCUACAUAAUAGGUCGGGGCUGCUUUGGUAACUUCCGGUUCCCCCCACUACACGGCACCCCCAUUUCCUCUCCCCUCCCGCAAAAACGACUAACUCCACAGCACCAGAGCAUCUCACAUCACGCCGUCCGUACUUCAUCGGCCUUUCUCCCCUCCCCUCUCGAAACCCUAGACUGCUCAUCCACCGGCGUACUAGAACCUAUUCACUGCCAGCGGCGUCCACCUCGCCGGAUCUGCUUCUGCGGCCGCAUCUACCCCUCCCACCUCCCCUAGAAACAAGUAGACUGCUCAUCCACCACUGUACCACAGCCCAUUCAGUGCCGGCCUUGUCCACGGUGCCGGAUCUGCUUCACCGGUACUCUUGUCAACCGCAGCGCAUCUGCAGCGGCUCAUUCGUACUCCCCACCGGAGACACUUCGUCCACACCCCCCGGAGCCGCCCCACCGACGCCCCCGUCGACGGCCUCUGAUCCUCUUCGCCGACACCUUCCUCAACCCUACCGGAGCUGCUUCGCCGACAACAUCGUCAACCCCAUCGGAGUAGCUUCGCCUAUACCAUUUUCAACCCUACCGGGGCCGCUUUGCCAACUCACAAGUCCACGGCCUCAGAUCAGCUUCCUCGCACCCUCAUCCAACCUACCAAAGCAGCUUCUGACGCCCCGUCCACGGCCGCAGAUCCGCAUCGUCGACACCAUGCUUAACCCAACCACCGGAGCAGCUUCACCUACGCCCUCGUCCACGGCCACAGAUCCGCUUCGCCCACACCGUAGUCCACCCUACCGGAGCCGCUCCACAAACACCCUACUCGACGGUUCUAGAUCUCCUUACCGGAUCCCGACAGCCAGUGCAGCGUCAUCACCCUUGACGUUUCUAACCUGAUUCCCACCGUCUGGCAAGAUGCGAAGCACCCGCCACGGCCUAGGUACUUGUCACCUUUAAACCCGUCCAGCAUCACCUGCCCGAUGUACUUCAAAUAUACUAAUAGGUCGCUUUUACCUGUUAUGCAGCUGGCAAAAACUACAAGGACGAUGUUUCUUCUGGAUCUAACAGCUUGGCCAACCAAGAUCCUGGACCGAGGCAAUUCUAUGAUCUUGUAAGCGUGUCUCUCUCUCUUGUAUUGUUCUGUGCCUGCCAGCGUGCUUUGCUAAGAUUUUCGACCAAUAAUCCCUUUGUGCAGACAAUGAUUUCUACUACUGGCUGCUAAAUUAGAUAUGUAGAUGUCAUACAUGAUACUACCUCGUACCUCCGUUCCUAAAUAUAAGUCUUUCUAGUGAUUCCAAUAUAGGCUACAUACGGAGCAAAAUGAGUGAAUCUACACUCAAAAAUGCAUCUAUAUACAUGUGUAUGUGGUCCAUAAUGGAAUCUCUAGAUAGACAUAUAUUUAGGAACAGAGGCAGUACAUUACACAAAAUCGUAGGUGGCAUGUAGGAAUUCUAGUACACUGCAUUAGGCUCCCUUAGAGUGCCUGCUAGUCCAGCACACAGAGUCAUGGCUAGUUUAUGCUACGCACACAAUCAUUAAUUGGUGGUUUAAAUAUGCGCAAGGGAUAUGCAAUGUAUUAUCAUGUAGAGAUGUCUGAAAUUAGCCGUGCCAACUUGCAGAUUGGGUUACACAAUGAAAAAGUACAAGAUGUAUGUGGCAAUUUCAUGGAAUAUCGCAAAAAAAGGAGAGCUAGCGGUGAGCCUAUACAGUGUGCUAUGGUACGUCACUCCUCCAUUGCAAUCAUCGUGACAUGUUAUUUGUAUGUCAGUUCUAUUGGCCAAGUUUCUUAGGGACAGUUAUUACGAGUUAUCCUAAGAAAAUAAGCACCUGUGAAUAUAAGCUCCAUGUAAUAAGCCAACCAGUUCUUUUCAUUGCGUUUUCAGCUUAUCUUUGGUAUGAUAAGUGAAAAGUCUAGAUUGCAUUAUAUUUUUUCAUUUUGCUACCCAUAUAAAAAUUAAUUUGACUUGCAAACAUCACAAAUUGAACCCAGUGCAGUAAUUAAUAUGAUAGGAAAACAGACCAUCACUAUUUGCUCAAAAUGCAAAUACAAAGAUACCAUCUACUUGGCACAAUCUACUUUGGUCAAUGUUUUCCAUAGAGAUCCCAUUGCCUAAUUUAAACGAAAGACGCAUGACCCACAUUUAAAUGAAGAACAAUUAUUUAUUGAAAUUCGAUGGUCCAAGUGGCUGGUUAUUAUCAUAUAGCAGCACCACCUGAAAGCAUCAUAUAGCAGCAGCAGCUCAUAGCAACUCAUCAUACAUCAGCAGCAGCAACAGUGUGCAAUUCAUCAUAUACCAGCAGCAGCUCAUAGCAAUUCAUCAUAUAGCAGCAGCAGGAGCAGCUCAUAGCAAUUCAUCAUAUAGCAGCAGCAGGAGCAGCUCAUAGCAAUUCAUCAUAUAGCAUCAGCAGGAGCAGCUCACAGCAAUUCAUCAUACAGCAGCAGCAGCAGCAGCUUAUAGCAACUCAUCAUAUAGCAGCAGCAGCUCAUAGCAAUUCAUCAUAUAGCAGCAGCAGCUCAUAACAAUUCAUCAUAUAGCAGCAGCAGGAGCAGCUCAUAGCAAUGCAUCAUAUAGCAGCAGCAGAAGCAGCUCAUAGCAAUUCAUCGUAUAGUGGAUCAGAAUGAAAAUUUGGCAAAAAAUCAGAGGAGAUCCUCACCUUGUGGGAUGAGCUCAUCCUUCAAUAGCACCUCAAGGCCACGGCCUGGGAGGUGGGGAGGGGGAAUAAGGUGCCUUCUGCCGCGGUAUGGCAUCAGCCGUAGUUGUGCAGCGCCUGCCGGAGUAGUGAGUUGGACGAACCACGGUGGAGCAGCUGCUGGAGACCAUGAGAAUGAGGAGCGGCACCAGAGGGAGGAGCAGUCAGGGAGAUUUGCCCCUACCCGCCGGCCAUGUAGCCUAGCUGGACAGAGCAUCAUCGAGGACCAGGCCAGAUGGGACCAGUGGCGACGGCUUGCUGCAGGAACACUAGUGCUACAGGCAGGGGAUCGAGGUAGAGGGAAAGGGAAGAGGAGAUGGAAGCGGGCAGGGCAAUGAACGCUUGCGUGUUUGUUUUUACUUGAGGGUGAGGUGUGACGCGGGCGUCACCAGUUGCAUUUUGAGUGUAAUAUAGGCAGACAACAGAGUCUUUUCACUAUUCCCCUUCCCUUCAAUUUUUAGUGAGGUUCUACCCGAAACACCCCCCUCCAAAGCGAAAUUAGUUAAGCCCAAGCCCAUAACUCAAAAAUGACUUCUUUACAUCUUUUAUGGCUUAUUUUGACAAUAAGCCCUGAAAAGGCGGAAUAGAACUGGCCCUUAACCUGCAAUUCAAUUGUGCGUGCAAUGAUGAAUCACUCGUGCCUGCUAUAGUGUACAUUUAGGCAUCAUCAUACAUGGCAUAACCUAAUACAUGUGCAUUCCAUUAUAGAAUCUGGAAUAUGCAAUGUUUAUAUUAGUUCAUAUGUUGCACAUGAUGUUUAAAUGCCCCUUAAAUCUGGUCAGUCAAGUGAUGGUCUUUAAGCCUCCUUCUUUGCUUCUUUUCUUGAUAUGUAAGAUUUGCUCACACAUCUGUUCAAUUGCUUGUUUGCAUCAGCUAGCCAUACUAGGACUGUUUGCUUUGAUUACUUGCUAUUCUUGACCUAACACUCUAACAGAGCUUGUCAACGAAUUAAACACUAAGGGCUGCUGUAGUGGGGCCUUUUCUAACUCAUAGGUGACAUAAAGGUUUGGCUGUACACUAAAGUAGGCUCUCCAAGAGUACCUGGAGGUCCAGUUCGAAGGUAUGCCUAGUUUUUACAUAGUGCACACAUAGUAAAUGCUCAUUUCAUUGUGUGCAAGUGCAAGAGAUGCGGCAUGUUUCAUUAUGUGGUGUUGUUUUGUUAUAAUCUCAUCCUUUUGUGUUCACAGACUGGAAAGUAUGCAUAUUUAUCUUCCAAGGAGACGAGUAACUAGUUUGUGUCACCUUGCAGAGGGGGUGGCAUGAAGAUAAGAUUGAGGAUUUCCAAGUACAAGAUGUUAGGAAGGAGCCUUGCAAGAGAAGUAGGAGCUCCGCUGAGCCUCUUCAACCUGUUAAGGUAAGUCACUGUAUCCAACUCAACAGUUCAAUUCCUUGUUUGUUUCAGGCAUAGUUAAUUUGCUCUUUUCAAUUGCUUUAUUUGUCCUCAGUUAAUGAGAUGCCCAAAGAAUGAUGCCUGAUGUUGGGUACUUGUAUAACUAUUAGUUGGCAUAAUUAAAGGCCUUACCAUUUAAUUACUCUGCCGAAGUGUGCCUGAAGCUUUGAAGUCUAUUAACCAACUAUUAUUGAAUGAGGCUCACAAUCUAGUUUAUACUAGGCUAAUGAUUGCAUAGUUUUGCUUGCUGUAGUAUGUUUGUAUGAAAUCCUCUGCUGUUCAUUAUGCUCCCUAAGACUUUAAUUGAGCUACAGAAUGGCCAACUGCUUGCUUACUUCUACGCAAUGUGCUGUCUAAAUUUGUAACUUGUCUGUGUUUUGGAUUGGGCCCCAACAUCAUGCUCCUCUGGUGAGCUAAGAGAGAUUUAUGUAUGCAGGCUGCACAGACUACCUUUUUUAUAAUUUUUAAAAUAUCACCUGCUUAUGCUUCAUGACGUGUAACAUUAUUGUUAGUCCUGUUUUGCCAUGUACAAAAUAGUCUGUCUUGCUCGCUUCACUGUUGUAACUAUAUUUUUGCCCUAGUCAUGUGUACUUAUAGAAACAUUUCAGGAUGAAGUGACAUCAACACAAAGAUCUGCGAGCAGUGCGGCAUGGCGGUUACCGAAUGAUUAUGGAUUGGAAUUGGAAUGUGCUGAUGUUCUCGAGCAUCAACUAGAGGUGGCAAGACAACGUGUACAUGAUUCUGAAUGUACAAUCAACAAGUUGAGACUGGACAUGCAGGUAUUAGAUGCAGGAGUCAAAAAAUGAAACAAGACACUGAGGUAACAACGAAGGAAUUGGAGAUUUUGUAGACUGAAAUUUCUGCUAUCUAAAUUCGGCCAAUCCUAUUUUCUGAAGAGAUUAUAGUUCAAAUGGUAAGUUAUGUUGAUGCAUGUCCAUGAUGUAUGAGUUGUAUCUGCCCAGUGUAUGUAAUUUGCUAUUUGUGUAUGCUUUAUUAUCACUGGUGCCGAACCAUAAUGCACAGUGGGUAUAAUCGGCUGUAAUUUCUUUAUUGUAUAGUGUAGCAUUAUUCUACGUUUCUAUGCCUUAGUCUCUUUAUUGUAUAGUGUAUGUUUUUUAGAGGUGAUAGUAUAGAGUAGGAUAAUUCUUUGAAUAUGCUAUAUCAUUCAAACGGGGGCCAACUCGCCCAAACGUUGUAGUGACCAUGGCCCUCCACAGGCCGUACGUUCCAUGGGCCAUCUACGGGACUAACGAUCCCUGGCCUUCUGUGGCCGUCGGAUUCGUGGGCCUUCUAUGGGCUGUUGGAUCCAUGGGCCUUCUAUCGGCUGUCAGAUCCAUGGGCCUUCCAUGGGCCAGCGGAUCCAUGGGCCUUCUAUGGGCCGUCGGGUCAAUGGGCCGUCGGGUCAAUGGGCCUUCUACGGGCCGUCUCAUCUAUGGGCCUUGUACGGGCCAUAUAAGGGGCCGUAAACGGGCUAGAGUGGAAAUCGUACAUUUUAUGGGCUGACCAUAACGGGCCGUUAAACGACCAUAUUUGAUGAUGCUAUGAAAAUGGCCCAGCCGAUUAACGGGCCACAAACGGGCCGACUGUAUCCAUGGGCUGAAUUUGGCCCACAAGUAGAAAAGGACUGUAACGGGCUGUAAGUAAACGAAUGCUGGAAAUGAGCCCAAGAAUAAAUGGGCCCUGAGAAGGCCGAAAGAUAACAUGGGCUGGAAACGGCCUAACGGUAUAAUGGGCCAUCAAUGGGUAUAAAGUGGUACACUGUUCAUCAUGGGCCAGUUUUACCACGGGCCGUUAACGGACCGAGGGUUACUAAGGGCCUCAGAUGGGCCAAAAGACGUCAUGGGCCAUACAUGGGCCGGAAGUUAAAACGGACUGGAAUUAUAUUGGACGACCCAGAUGACGCUACUGGGCCUAAUUCGGAUAGGCCGUAAACGGGCCCUGGGUUAGCGGGCUGUAAAUGGGCUAUAUGCGAACAGGCCGUUAACAGGCUUGCCGUGGGCCGGCCCACCACCAUUUGACCAAGUCAAACGGGCCGGCCUUUUCACAGGAAUGGGCCUCUGUUGGGCCGUGCCAUGUGUCGACAUAUCAUAGGCGCUUUGGGUCCAAUGAGUGGAUGACAUCUGUCCCACCGGUGAGCCGACACGUGUUUCCUCCAGUCAAUGAUGAUUUUACACGUGGAAAAUCCCCAUUGGACGGGGCUGUUAGCGGGUUAUCGGAUCCAAAACCGGACCCGAUAGCUUAACAGCGUUCCGUUACAGUGGAUGCCACGUGUCGGUCACCCUUGACGAAAGCACUUCUGUGACGCGCGAUUUAUCGUCAUGGAAGUGGACGCUUCCGUGAUGAUAAUUUUGGUAAUGUCAUGGAACACUUCUACGACAGCACAGGUAUGACUAUCUUGAUUCUGUCAUAAAAUUGUCAUGGAUGUACAUGCAUGACAAAAAAUGCGACCUACUGUGACAAACACGUAUCAUCACGGAAGUGUAUUUUUUUGUACUGUAUGUCCAUGGCUUGCGCUCAUGUAUUGCGUGAGGGUUGAAAAGGCUGAAGCGCGUUAAAAAGUAUGAACCAAUUGCUCGGCUUGUCACCGGGGAUGUGCAUGAUGUGAAUAUUUUGUGUGGUGAAGAUGGAGCAUAGCCAGACCAUAUGAUUUUGUCGGGAUAACUUUCUUCGGCCAUGUUAUUUUGAAAAGACAUGAUUGCUUUAUUAGUAUGCUUGAAGUAUUAUUGUCUUAAUGUCAAAUGAGAUACUAUUGCUUUGAAUCACUCGUGUCUUAAUAUUCAUGCCAUGAUUAGUUACAUGAUCAAGAUUAUGCUAGGUAUCAUUCCACAUCAAAAAAUAUCUUUUUUAUCAUUUUCCUACUCGAAGACGAGCCGGAAUUAAUCUUGGGGAUGCUGAUACGUCUCCGUCGUAUCUAUAAUUUUUGAUUGUUCCAUGCCAAUAUUCUACAACUUUCACAUACUUUUGGCAACUUUUUAUACUAUUUUUGGGACUAACAUAUUGAUCCAGUGCCCAGUGCCAGUUCCUGUCUAUUGCAUGUUUUUUGUUUCGCAGAAAACCCAUAUCAAACGGAGUCCAAACGGGAUAAAAACUGACGGAGAUUUUUUUGGAAUAUUUGUGAUUUUUGGGAAGAAGAAUCAACGCGAUACGAUGCCUGAGGGGGCCACGAGGCAGGGGGGCGCGCCCCAGGGGGUCAGGCGCGCCCUGGACCCUCGUGGCCACCCCGUAAGGCGGUUGGAGCCCUUCUUUCGCCGCAAGAAAGCUAAUUUCCGGAUAGAGAUCGUGUCCAAAAUUCAGCCCAAUCGGAGUUACGGAUCUCCGGUUAUAAAAGAAAUGGUGAAAGGCCAGAUCUGAGAGCGCACAAACAGAGAGAGAGAGAGAGAGAGAGAGAGAGAGAGAGAGAGAGAGAGAGAGAUCCAAUCUCGGAGGGGCUCUCGCCCCUCCCACGCCAUGGAGACCAAGGACCAUAGGGAGAACCCUUCUCCCACCUAGGGAGAAGGCCAUGGAAGAAGGAGAAGGAGGGGGCUCUCUCCCCCUCGCUUCCGGUGGCACCGGAGUGCCGCCGAGGCCAUCAUCAUCACCACAAUCUACACCAACAUCUUCACCGCCGUCAUCACCAACUCUUCCCCCCUCUAUGCAACGGUGUAUCCCUUCUUUUACCCGUUGUAAUGUCUACUUAAACAUGGUGCUCAACGCUAUAUUAUUUCGCAAUGAUGUAUGGCUAUCCUAUGAUGUUUGAGUAGAUCCGUUUUGUCCUAUGGAUUAAUUGAUGAUCGUGAUUGGUUUGAGUUGCAUGUUUUAUUAUUGGCGCUGUCCUAUGGUGCUCUCCGUGUCGCGCAAGCGUGAGGGAUCCCCGCUGUAGGGUUUGCAAUAUGUUCAUGAUUUGCUUAUGGUGGGUGGCGUGAGUGACAGAAGCACAUACCCGAGUAAGUAGGUUGUUUGUGUAUGGGAGUAAAGAGGACUUGAUGCCUUAUAAUGCUAUGGUUGGGUUUUACCUUAAUGAUCUUUAGUAGUUGCGGACGCUUGCUAGAGUUCCAAUCAUAAGUGCAUAUGAUCCAAGUAGAGAAAGUAUGUUAGCUUAUGUCUCUCCCUCAAAUAAAAUUGCAAUAACGAUUACCGGUCUAGUUAUUGAUUGCCUAGGGACAAAUAACUUUCUCGUGACAAAAAGCUCUUUACUAAAACUAAUUUAGUUGUGUCUUUAUCUAAACAGCCCCUACUUUUUAUUUACGUGCUAUUUAUUAUCUUGCAUACCUAUCGAAAAACACCUACAAAGUACUUCUAGUUUCAUACUCGUUCUAGGUAAAGCGAAUGUUAAGCGUGCGAAGAGUUGUAUCGGUGGUCGAUAGAACUUGAGGGAAUAUUUGUUCUACCUUUAGCUGCUCGUUGGGUUCGACACGCUUACUUAUCGAAAGAGGCUACAAUUGAUCCCUUAUACUUGUGGGUUAUCACCGGGCCAGCCCACGGGAAUGCCACCUCCCAUGCGCAGGCCACAUCGCCCUGCUGCGCCGGCUGCACCGCCUGCUAGGCUGCUUCGGCGCGGAUGCCAUCGGCGCGCUUUCCUCCAAUGCUCGAGGUACGUGGCCUCCUGCGCUGAUGCCACGCCCAGCCAGAUUGGGGGGAAGGGACGGACCCACUCACGCAGCUCGCCAGUCCAGAUGUACCGCUUGGUGGGCUCCAUCGUCGUCGGCUCGGCCAUAGGCGGGGGGGGGGGAGGAGGGAGAGUGACAGCGGCACCACGUAGUCGUCGGUCGCAGAGAGGGUGAGGGCCUCCACUAGCCUCGCUUGAUAGUCCGCCUCCUCCGCCUCUGCCUUGCGCCGCUCCUCCUCGAUGGACGUUUGCACAGCCACUGCCAACGCCGCGUGGUACGCAGCCUCCUCCUCUUCAGGCUUGAUGACCGGGGGCGGCGGAGGGUUGGUGUGGUGCUCCUGGACGCCAAGGCGGCAUUGCUCCUCAUGCUCGAGGGCAAACCACAUCUCCCAAUUAUGAGAGUCCGACGCGUACGCCGGAAUCUGACGUUGCUCCCGCGUGAGGAACUCCCGCCACCUGCGCACCUCCUCGGCGUGCGCCCGCUGCGACCGCGGCACAGCCGGCACCGGGAUCCACUAUGGAUCCAGAUGCCACAUGACGUCCGGGUACAGCAGCGGCUGCCUGUACAGCGAGUGCCAGCGCGCCUGAUGCACCGGAAUGUGCAGGCGCUGCCGCACGGAGCAGUCAGGCACCGGUGGCGGCGGAGGAGGAAGCGCGCGCGAGGAGGAUGUGCCAGGGGCAAACUUUCCCUUGCUCUUGCCGGAGCCACUAAAGAAACCCAUGGCUAGGGUUUGGUUGUCGCCAAUGAGGGAGCAUGUGGGAGGGGGGCCUAGAUGUGGAUGGGCAAUGGAAGUGGAUGAGGCCGCCCCCCCACACGCAUGGAUUAAAAAAGGACUCCCCCCUGCGCUUCCAGUCGCUGAUGCGUUGGCCCGUGGUUGGUGGCCGCGUUGAAUACGACUGCGUCUGGUGGUUGGCCGGCUGACAUGUGGGGCCGAGACGGACAUCGAGGGGAUAUGUGUCGGCAUUUUGCAUCGAUACAAUUUGUUCCUCCUCAAGCAGCACCGGUUGGCGGAGGGCCAAAUCUACAGCGACCGCGUGAACGAGGAAGUCGUGGUGGCCAUGGUCGCGAUGAAUCCCAACUUCGUCACUGAGAAGCAGGAGCUCUACGAGGUAGCCCGCACUCACGCCACCACUGCUCGCAACACAGAGGUGGCGCAAAUAAUCACCCCCACCAGUUGCGCAUCAUAUGCGCCACCAAGACGCCAGCGAACUUCGCGACGAUGGCACGGGGAGAGUACCGGCCCAUCCACGUCCAUGGUCGACCUUAUGUCCAUCGGCAAAGGACAGGUCCCAGACUUCGACGAGGACGAGUAGAGCAUGGGAGGCGGCAGGGCCUCGAGUCCCAAGUGGGUCGGUCUGUCUCUUCCUUCCUCGCCGGCGACCGCACCUUCACUUAUGGGUCUUAUCCAUGCCGCUCAUGGAGACGGCAAGCUGGACCCUGGCGAUCGCCGGAAGGGAACAACAAGGACGAGACGUGUACGACCGCCGCCGAGGCUAGGUUUAGGCCUGAUUGAUUUUUUUGCGAAAAUAUGUUAAAUAUAUAGUAAAUGUACUCCAGUUUUAUGAAAAAUCAUCUCGUUUGCAUCAAUUUUGUUUGAUUGGUUGAAAUACAAUUUGAAAUGUAUGCGAGCACGGUUGGAUGGGCGGCUCCCUUAUCAGUGCUCGUGAACUUGUCCCCACCAGUCUGCGGACGGAUGCGGUGUCCGGUUUGAGUGUUAGCAUUGGAGAUGCCCUAAGGGAAUAUCCUACACCGUGUCGUAAAUCGCCUACAAAUGUGUGGAUCAUUUUUGCAACCCAACACGCUGCCGGAUAUGUCUGAGGACCUAUCCACGCGUCUGAAUUGUCGUAAACCGGCACCAAAUCCGAGGGAGGUUUGCGGGCAUCCGGACCCGUGCCACAUACAUGUCAGAUUAUGCGGUCCCACAUUAAACCAUCUUCAGCGUGUCUUUUCAACCGUGCCUCCACAUUCAUGCCGGUACAUAGCAGGCACGACCAGUCUGUAGCAUGACGUCCGGAGGCACGACAUUGAAGCGGCAUCACAACAACCAAGAGCUAAAAUUCUCCAAUAGAAGAUGCAAAUUUGGAGAUGUAAAAAUUACAUCUUUUAAAAGUGUUUUUUGUAUCUUCAAAAAAGGGCCAACUCCAAUAGAUGAUACAAAACGGAGAUGUAAAAGUGCAACUCCAAUAGAUGAUGCAAAAGGGAGAUGUAAAAACUAGUGGGCGGCGGCCUAAUCGGGGCAUCGGUAGUGGGGACGGUGGCAACACGGCGCGUUUCAGGGUGGCGAAUAGGUCCGGCGGCGGCGCAAAAAGGGGCGGCGGAGCAGCGGCCGCGACGCGAAUCUGGGCGGUGGAGCAGCGGCAUUCGAGGCGGAGAGAGGAGGAGGAACGGCGUAGGGGCGCGACCAUGGUGGAGGAGGGCCUCUUUGGCCGGAGGAGGAAGCCACGGCCGCCAGCAGAAGCCAAUCGCCCGCCGCAACCGCGUUCGGCUUUGAAAUUUUGGCCGACCGAGGUUGGUUCGCCGCCGAGUUGCACCCCCGCGCCAUCUGCCGCUUCACACCUCCACCGUGUGGCUCGGCGGCCUGCUGCUUCUUCGCACGCAGCUCCGGCGCGACAGCAACCGACCGAGGUGGGGCAAAUCCGGGGCGGCAGCAUGAAGGCGGAGGCCAAAUUGGGGACCACGGUCGCGCCAACAACGGCUGCGGCGAGGUGGGUCAGACCAGCGGCAGGCGAGCAGCACGGCGGGGUCAUCGGCAUCGGCCAUGGCGGCGGCCGACCGUCGGGCAUACGGGUGGCGGUCGAGUGGAAGCAAAAUGAAGGCAGUUGGGCGUUUGGCGCGCGACGGCUGUUUUUACAUCUCCUCUAGGUAGAGAUGCAAAUACUCACAGCAAAGUGUUGUAGUUUACAUCUCCGCGAGGCGGAAAUGUAGUUUUUUCAUCUACAUCAUCUGUUGGAGAGGGGGUUUUAGGCCUCGGAGAUGCAAAAGUUAGUUAUUUUUGCAUCUACAUCAUCUAUUGGAGAUGCUCUAAAGAGUGCAUCACCAACCUCAUGCGUAUCGCUCUCCCGCAUGGGGUCGGAAACUAAAUUAGGGCAUUGUGUAUCUAUAAAAUUUCUUUCACUCUAAAAAGCAAAUCUAGACAAUUUCUCACCCUCGAAAAAAAUCUACAAAAUUCUAAGUAUGCUUUUUUUGAGAAUUUUUUUUUAUCCUUCAUCAAUCAUGGCAGUACAUAGAACAUUAGAGGUAAUUAAAAUUACAACCAGCUCCAUGGACCACCUAACGACGAGUUACAAACACUGGAGCGAGCCGAAGGGGCGCCGCCGUCCUCGUCUUACCCUCACCGGAGUCGGGCAAACCUUGUUGUAGCAGACAGUCGGAAAGUCAUUGUGUUAAGGCCCCAAAGGACCAGGGCACUAGAGCAGUAACCACUGCCGAUGAAGAGAGUUGUAGAUCGAAAAGAUCAAAUCUGCAACCACACAAAUGAAGACAAACAAAAAAGGGAUCCAAAUAGAUCCACCGAAGACCAGCUCCGACCGAGUCCCGCGAGAUCCGACGAGACAUACCUCCACACAUCCUCCUCCAACGUUAUUUGCAUCAUCGGGGCGGGGCUCGGACGUGGGAGACAUAAUUUCUACUGAGGGACAUCACCACCGCCACACGGCCCCAACCAAGACUCUAAGUAUGUUUCAUGUGUUGUUGCCCUUUUGAAUUUGUCAACUACAUAUUUUUAAGCCAUUAUUUUAUAAUUUUGUUUAUCUAUUGAUUACUGCUGAUAGUACAUCACAUUUGUAGUGAUGCAACAUAUGUACUCUUGCUUUUCGUCAAGAUAGCCCCUCCAUUCAUAUAUGUGUAUGUAACUUGCUCGAAUGUAGAGAAAUGAAAAUGUUCUUGUUGAAAGAUCCAGCAUCGCUGGCAUUCAUUGACAAUAGCAGAAAGCAACAGAAAACAACAUGGCGGUGAAGGUCCUAAGACCAGAGGAUCUGAAGAUUAAAGAAAAACGAAAAUCAUCAGCCCUAACAGCUGUAAUACAACACUCCACACAGCCCAUACUAGGCAGCGCAGCUCCGACUCUGACUGUGAACUAGUAAAGAAACUAGGCAGGAUGGCGUCAUGGAGGAUCACCGAACGAAACCACCUGUCAUGUUGUAACACCCCAAAAAUUUGACCUUGUUUUAUUAAUUAAAAAUUUUGCCAGGAAAUUAAAUUUUUAUUUUUCUGGAUUUCUCCUUUGAUUUCAGAACCCCUCUUCUCUUUAAUAUUGUGGGUUUUUACCUCAAGUGGAAACUUUCCAAAAGUAUUAUUGGACUUGUAUACUCUCCCUAUAAAACAAUUCUUUAUCAGUGGAUUUAGUUGCAAGAUUUGCUUUUCCCUAAGCUUUAUUCUUUCAAAAUGACUUUUCAUAAAAUUGGAGCCUCUUUUGCACUGCAACCAUUUGAUUAAUGCAUUUAAAAAUUUCACCAAAAUUUGGGGAUGUCAUGUGUGUUUCCACAUCACUUUUGUGCAAAAAUAUCUUUUGGUUAUUGGGGAUUUUGAGCUCUACUUCAACUUUUCAAAUCUGGUCCAGUAGGCAUCUUUGCACUACAACCUAUUUAAAUAUUUCUUUAAAAAUUCUUCCAAGUGUUUGGAGAUGUCAGUAGAUGCUCAUAAUGCAACUUCAUGCAAAAACCCAAUGAUGUUCUAUGAAAAUUUUGAGUGAAUCAACCUCAAUUUCAUUCUGGUCCAGUUUGGUGAUUUGUACUGCAACCUUAUUUUAUUUUGCUCUAGUGCCCAUGAGCUUUUUCCUACUUAUAGUCCUCCCUACCAAACCCUUAAGUCUAGGAGAUUGGACCCAUUGGAGUAUUUUUAGUGCAUGCAAUGAUAGCCUUUAGUUUCUGCCCAAAACUGAUUUUCUCUAAAACUUGCACUAACAAAUUUCUGUUUUUGCCAAACUAACCUUACCACCUUUUUUAGCUCCUAAAGAGACUAGGAUCUGGGGAGUUUGGCCACCCCUAGAGUUGCCUAGAUGCCCAUGGCAUUCUGUCGAACACCCUGUGUGCAGGAACAGUUUUGGCAUGUUUUCUAGUUUGCAUUGUGAACUUGAGCCCCUGACCCAUCCAGCAUGUCCACUAACCUCCUAGCUAUCCCUAACCCUGGCCUGUUGACUACCAGCAUCACCCAAGCUCCCUAGCACGCGCUGGCAUUUUGUCGAACACCUGGUGUGCGUGCUCUGGGCGCGGCCAGAGCGUGCGUGCGCACGGGUCGCCGCGUCGCACCCCUGGCCCUUACUCGCCCGCAGAGCCACGCCCUGCCCUCGCCCACUCACCAGUACCCUCCAAGCCUCCCUGGCGCCCUACAGUGCCGCCGUCAGGGCUCCCUUGGCGGCACGCCGGCGUCGGCAGCGGGCUCUGCCGUGGACGGCACCGCCCAAGCCACCCGCGCGCGCCAGCUGCCCCCUGUGAACAGCCCAAGCUCAUCCACAUGCUCGUCGGCACGCGCUCGUCGCCGCCACGACGCCCUGCAGCUACAGAACGGCGACUCGCCAUCGUUCUUAUCCACCACCGCGGAGCCAGCCCCGUCGCGCUAUAAAAGGAGGCCCCCCGAGCCCCUCCGAGCACUCAGACGACCCCAGGCCACCCCCAUAGCUUACCCUUAGCCAGCAAUCGACGUCGGGAAGCUUUCUUCCCCGUCUCCGGCCAGUUCGGUCGCCGCCUCAAUCCAGUGCAGUGCGUCGCAACCGGACCCUCCCCCGCCCAUCCAACGCCACCAACCGUCUCCCCAUAGUCUUGCGGAGCUGCCUAGCGCCUCAGCCUCGACCAAGGACCACCAUAGCCUGAAGCCCCCUUUGCUCCCGAACCACCGUCCGCCGCGGAGCUCGCCGUCGGUGACUUCCUCCGUCCCCACCUGCCUAGCGCCCACCGGGAGGACCGCCCUAGACUGGCGGAUCCAUCCCUGCCCUCGGGGCCCCGUGGGGAGCUGCCGUUCGUCGACGGCGAUUGCCGGAGUCCCGCCACCGUUCGGGCAGAGAGAGAGGAGGGAGGAAAGACCAGUCAAACCUGACCAGUGGGCCCCCUGGACCCACUGUCAGUGACCCGCGCGCCCGUCCACUCUGGUUAAGUGAAAGCGCAAAAGUCCCGAGUACGUCUCCUCUGCUUCGAAAGCGUAGUUUCCCCCGAAACGUUUUCUUUUCUGGUUUUAUUUAAAAACAGAACUUUGACUAAUCUUUGACUGGCUAUAUCUUUUAAAAUAAAACUCCAAAUGAAUUGAUUCUUUUUCCUACCUCUCUCAAAUUUCAUCUAGUUUAUUUUAAGAUUUAUUUCAAAAAAAAUUGGGACAACUUUUUGUACAAUUUUUGAAAUAUUUGUUAUUUGAAUAUUUCUUUCAAAAUAGGAAAUGGAGAGAGAAGAAAACUUUCAAAAAGUGCACCCCCUUGCAUACUCUUAAAGGCAAGCAUUCUGAACUCUGGCAUAAUGUUUUCGUGAGGUGUUUUGGAUACAGUUACAACACCACUUUGACUUGGAGCAUGCGUUAUUUCUAUGUAACGAUACAGCCACACGCAUGAGUGCAUAUUGGAGAUGCUUUACUGUUAGAAAUGGAUAUGCUGGUGAUAGUGAUCAUCCUCGCGAGCUUUUCAUGCAUACCGGCAGGAAGCCGGGAAAGUCGUGGUCUUGGGUAGACACGAGCUUGUCCCUAGUUCCUCGUCGAGACGAGUGUGGCCGGUAUGGCAUGAUGAGGUUUGAUGAGCGGUGAUUAUGUUUGUUGAUGGAAAUAUAUUGGUUAUGCUAAUCAUUCGGAGAAUACUUGGACCUCCUGAGUCGGCCGUAGGUCGAGUCUUGUUCAGUAACUUCCCCUACUUGUUCUGUACUACCACUUGUCCCUGCCGCAGGUAGGGUACGGUUCAGUAAGUUGUCAACCCCUUACCAAAGCACACACCGUACAGAGAGGCCAUGGUGGAAGAUACCGGAGGCCUCCGGUAGGCAUGCCACCUGGUCCGGGGGCAUGGGUGUUUCCGGUUGGGACCGAGAGGGGGGCACCCCUUAGAGCGCGCGAUAUAAAUUUGAUCCCAUGCUACAUCGAGGUUGUAGCCUCCCCACUUAGAGUUUUGCUUGACAGGUGUCGUGGGUGAUUCCAGACACCGGUAAGUUAAGCUGGUGUGUGCAGGUCAGGCGUGUUUUCAAUUAAAAGGCCAUAGGCGGAAUUAGUCCCGAUGGACUAAAUAAAUCCGUUACUCGUGGGUAAAGAGUACACCCUCUGCAGAGGUUACAUCUAUUCGGAUAGCCAUGUCCAUGGGUAAGAACUACAGUCUGAGAUGGGUCUAGUGACGGUUUUCGGAUGGAGAAACGGCUAAACUGGAUCAUAGUAACGGUAUUCGGAUGGAGAACGACUAAACUAGAACAUAGUGACGGUCUUCGGAUGGAGAAACGGAUAUACUAGAACAUUGAUUAUGACCCAUGUCAUAUGAGAAUUAUGCUUAUUAUUAUUAUGGACUAACCAUUUACAUUAUUUGAAUUAUUAAGUAUCCCUGGGACGGUUCUACCUCCUGGAUACUCACUGUGUUUAUUAUUUAUAAGCCCUUUAUGUGGCGUCGCUCAGACGCCCGACUGCGGCAUGCUUGUUAUUUAUUUAUCCUUUAUAAGCCCUUUAUGUGGCGUCGCUCAGACGCCCGACUGCGGCAUGCUUGUUAUUUAUUUAUCCUUUAUAAGCCCUUUAUGUGGCGUCGCUCAGACGCCCGACUGCGGCAUGCUUGUUAUUUAUUUAUCCUUUAUAAGCCCUUUAUGUGGUGUCGCUCAGACGCCCGACUGCGGCAUGUUUGUCAGUUAUUUAUUAUUCAUAAGCCCUUUAUGUGGUGUCGCUCAGACACCCGACUGAGGCAUGAUUUAUCUUAUUAUUCUUUUCGAGGCAUCUCUUCAGACACUCGAUCAGUGCAUUCUAUUUUCUACUUCCGUAUUGCGUAUUCAUAUUUUACCUGCUUGCGAGCAUCAUGGAUUUCGUUUAUUUCGUGACAGACGUUGUGGUCAUAGAUUUUUCGGAGCAUGAUUAUCCCUUAUUAUACCCGUGUUCAUAAUGUUUGCGAGUACAUUCAAAUGUACUCACUGGCGUGUCCCUGGCUAUUGUCUUGGCCAGAUUUCCCGCAUGGAGAUAAGCAUUGCGAUGACAGCCCCGGAACCUACGCAAUGAUGAUAGCAGCCUCGCGAAGAUAGGAGUUACCCUGGUCAGCUGUCCUUGUGGGAAAUGGAGUCCCAUAGACGCAGAUGAACCACAACCGCUUCCGCCAUCAAUUACUAGAAACCAAGUGUGUACUCAUAGGCCACAAUGGUCUUGUACUACAUAUCUUGUACUUUGCUUGGAAUUCUUGUAUCAAGUUGGUGCCUCAUCAGCUAACAGUAAUCCUGGGGCUGGUGAGCACAAAGGCCAUUUUUUGGGAAAUUAAUAUCCCGAAAAUCCAGUCCUGACACAUGUGCACUCGUCAUCGUAUUCCACCGCCGCCCACCGCGGCUUCGGCUUCACAGCAACAGACGAUCGAGGCAGUCCCACAAACAUGCCGGAGAAGAAGAGCCGACUACCACGACCAAGGCCACGCCUCCGACAUUGCUCACCGCCAUCAUCGUUGCCACAGAAACCACCAUGCACGUCCAAUCAUAGGAAGCACCAAAGGGAUCAAAGUCUUCAAGACGACGCCCUAAAGAGGGGAGCGACGUUGAAGAUGACCCCACUGCCCAACCGUGCAACAGGAUCUGGGUUUUCACCCGAAGGACUUGAUCCGGGAGAUCUGGCUGUGAAAUUCCCGACGGCGCCUCCAAGGAGGAUAGCGAUGCCCACAGGCGCCGUCGCCGCCGGCCAGCUAGCACCGGCUAGGCUUUCACCCGGGGUAGCCACUCCCGCGCAGCAGGCCGAGGUCGACCCGUGCCUCCAUUGGACUGCGCAUCCCACACACAGUGAGCGUGCCACCGUUGUGCAGGGCCACCACCAAGCCUCCCCCACGACGGGCCUGCAGAGACUAGAUCAGGUUCUGCACCCUGCAUCCAACCGCGGUCGGAGCCUCUCUGCUCCAGCACCGUCCGCGGUCGCGAACCGGCCGUGGUCACCACGCGCCGCCACGCCCAGAUCCGUGCUGCCUGCCCCCUCCCCCCGCCCAGCACGCCUCCUACGCACUAGAUCCAGGCGUCCUGGAGCCCCACGCGCACGAACGACACGCCUGCUAAUCUCGUGUCGCUGCUGCACCUCUGCCUCGAGCCCCAUGCAGAAUCUGACCGGUUGCACACCGGCCGACCAGAUCCGCCGUAGCCCUCACAGGCCAACCUGGCUGGCCACAUAGCUCACACCAGCAAGGCAAGCACACAAUAGAUCCAGCGCCGUCCGUGCCUCUAGCCCAGCAGCACACCGCUGGGGACCCCUCCCGCGCCAUACGCGCCUCACCGCACGCCCAUGCCUCUCACGCCCAGGCCGCCCACGCCCGCGCAUCUCCCAGGCCACGCACGGCCACGCCUCGCCCAAGCCGCGCACUCCGCGCCCGCACUUCCUCCACCGCGCGUGCCGGCAGCCACCCACAGUAGCCCUGACGCGCUCCGCAUCUCCGAAGGUGAGCUGCUCCCGCGCUGCACUUGGUCCUCACGAGAUGGGACUGGCCCCGCCGCCACCGACGCCGUACGGGCUUUGCCCGGCGGCGUCCUUCGGCAGCAGCAAGGGAAGGGGUGUGGUGGGGUGGGGGUGGCGGCGGCGGCGAUUUAGGGUUUCUCCCGAGUCGCUGCCAGAAAUGAAAAAGUGGUCACGUUCUUAUAGGAAGGUCUAGUUUAGUUAUGUGAGCCCUGCCUCGAGAUGUUUGCGCUAUGCGGUGCUAGCAGCUUUGUAUUCCUAUAUUAAUGUAACACCUAAAAAUCAUGUAAAUAUUUCUCCAAAACAUGGGUGGUACAAAUAGUGCUUGAACUUUGAAGUGGUACAAUAAUGGUGACAAGAAUCAAUGGCACGACAAUUGAAGAACACUGAAUCAACACUCAGAAAGAAAAAUGGUGAUUCAUCGGGCGCAGCGGAGUGCGCCAACCCACCUACUACAGUUCAUUGGUCGAGAGGAGAGCUUCUAGUCGGAAAACCCUAAUGGACACUCGUUGCGGCAAAGUGUCGGGCGAUCGCACAGAGCAGCCAAGUGAUACGUCGCCAACGUAUCUAUAAUUUUUGAUUGUUCCAUGCUAUAUUAUAUUCUGUCUUGGAUGUUUAAUGGGCAUUAUUAUAAACUUAUAUAUUAUUUUUGGGACUAACCUAUUAACCGGUGGCCCAGCCCGAAUUGCUGUUUUUUUGCCUAUUUCAGUGUUUCGAAGGAAAGGAAUAUCAAACAGAGUCCAAACAGAAUUAAACCUUCGGGAACAUGAUUUUCUUAACAAACGUGAUCCAGAGGACUUGGAGUGGACAUCAAGCAACCGACGAGGAAGCCACGAGGCAGGGGGCGCGCCUACCACCCUGGGCGCGCCCUCCACCCUCGUGGGCCCCUCGUGGCUCCACCGACCUACUUCUUCCUCCUAUAUAUACCUACGUACCCCAAAACCAUCAGAGACAGAGCCAAAACCCUAUUUCCACCGCCGCAACCUUCCGUACCCGUGAGAUCCCAUCUUGGGGCCUUUUCCGGCGCUCCACCGGAGGGGGCAUUGAUCACGAAGGGCUUCUACAUCAACACCAUAGCCUCUCCCAUGAUGUGUGAGUAGCUUACCUCAGACCUUCGGGUCCAGAGUUAUUAGCUAGAUGGCUUCUUCUCUCUCUUUGGAUCUCAAUACAAAGUUCUCCUCGAUUCUCUUGGAGAUCUAUUUGAUGUAACUCUUCUUUUUGCGGUGUGUUUGUCGAGAUCCGAUGAGUUGUGGGUUUAUGAUCAAGAUUAUCUAUGAACAAUAUUUGAAUCUCCUCUGAAUUCUUUUAUGUAUGAUUGGUUAUCUUUGCAAGUCUCUUCGAAUUAUCAGUUUGGUUUGGCCUACUAGAUUGAUCUUUCUUGCAAUGGGAGAAGUGCUUAGCUUUGGGUUCAAUCUUGCGGUGCUCGAUCCCAGUGACAGUAGGGGAAAUGACACGUAUUGUAUUGUUGCCAUCGAGGAUAAAAAGAUGGGGUUUAUAUCAUAUUUUAUGAGUUUAUCCUUCUACAUCAUGUCAUCUUGCUUAAAGCGUUACUCUGUUCUUAUGAACUUAAUACUCUAGAUGCAUGCUGGAUAGCGGUCGAUGUGUGGAGUAAUCGUAGUAGAUGCAGGCAGGAGUCGGUCUACUUGUCACGGACGUGACGCCUAUAUACAUGGUCAUACCUAGAUAUUCUCAUAACUAUGCUCAAUUCUAUCAAUUGCUCGACAGUAAUUUGUUUACCCACCGUAAUACUUAUGCUAUCUUGAGAGAAGCCACUAGUGAAACCUAUGGCCCCCGGGUCUAUUUUCCAUCAUAUUAAUCUCCCGACAACAAGCUAUUUCUGGCGCUGUUUAUUUUGCUUCCUUUACUUUUAGUCUUUACCAUAAAAAUACUAAAAAUAUUAUCUUAUCAUCUCUAUUAGAUCUCACUCUCGUAAGUGACCGUGAAGGGAUUAACAACCCCUUUAUCGCGUUGGUUGCGAGGUUCUUAUUUGUUUGUGUAGGUGAUUGGGACUCGAGCGUGGUCUCCUACUGGAUUGAUACCUUGGUUCUCAAAAACUGAGGGAAAUACUUACGCUACUUUACUGCAUCACCCUUUCCUCUUCAAGGGAAAACCAACGCAGUGCUCAAGAGGUAGCAAGAAGGAUUUCUGGCGCCGUUGCCGGGGAGUCUACGCACAAGUCAAGACAUACCAAGUACCCAUCACAAACUCUUAUCCCUCGCAUUACAUUAUUUGCCAUUUGCCUCUCGUUUUCCUCUCCCCCACUUCACCCUUGCCAUUUUAUUCGCCCUUUUUUCAUUUGCCUCUUUUUCGCUUGCUUCAUCGUUAUGGCUAGUCCCUUAUGUACUCCUUUGUCUCCCGAGAAUGAAGUUCUUAAUUUUAAACAAAGGGAGGGAGAAAAUCUAAAAGAUGCUUGGUACAGAAUUUGCAAUGCACAAAAUAGAUCUACUAGGAAGCAAUCUACUUCCGUUCUUCUUCGCAAUUUUUAUGUAGGCAUUACUCGUUGGAAUAGAUAUAUUCUUGAUACCAUUAUCGGAGAAAAUUUCUUGGGUAGCCAUACUUUUGAUUCUUAUAAUGCUAUGAUAGAUUUGUUUGGCCCAUCACCUCUUUUGGUUAAUGGAACUAUUUUAACUUUGGAACAUGUGAUGCAACGGCUUGAAAUUAUUGAAAACAAAGUUGCCACCGUAGAGUUGAUUGAAAAUUUGGAUAGAAAGAUCCACAACCAAGUAACCCAAUACGGAUCUAAGGUAGGAGUUGCUCUCAAAUUUUUUAAAGAAAAGGAACCUAUGGUUAAUGAAAAGAUAGAUCAAGAUUCCACUAGAAUUGAUAAAAUUGAGGAUAUUAUUACCAACCUAGGAUCUGCCUUUUCUUCCGUGAAAAACACUCCUUCUAAUGCUAAGAUUGCCAAAUUGAUGUAUGUUCCUAAAAAUAAGGGUGAAACCUCUAGUAAGGGAAAUGCGGACCUCAAAUCCAUAAGUGUUCAUCCCAACUUUUUCGCUAUCCUUAAGGAACCUUUUGCUACAAAUGAUUUUCUCGAUUUUGUGCCUAGAAGUUUGAUAAUUAAUAAAAAUAAAGAAACUCCUAGGGGUUAUAGGAUUCUUAUUAAAGAAUUGCCUACCAAAGAUGGCAAUACCUAGAUCUAUCCUUGCUUUUACGCCUAGCUAGGGGCGUUAAACGAUAGCGCUUGUUGGGAGGCAACCCAAUUUUAUUUCAGUUUUUUUUUAUUUUUACUUCUGUUUAGGAAUAAAUCUUUGAUCUAGCUUCUGGUUAGAUGUGUUUUUAUGUUUUAAUUAGUGUUUGUGCCAAGUAAAACCUAUAGGAUCUUCUUGGAUGAUAGUUAUUUGAUCUUGCUGAAAAUUCCAGAAACUUUCUGUUCACGAAAACAAUUGUUAAAAAUCACCAGAACGUGAUAAAAUACUAAUUCCAAUUGCAUCAGAUCAAUAAACAAAUUAUCUAGGUCGUCCUACUUUGGUGAAAUUUUUGGAGUUCCAUAAGUUUGCGUUAGUUACAGAUUACUUAGACUGUUCUGUUUUUGACAGAUUCUGUUUUUCGUGUGUGGUUUGCUUAUUUUGAUGAAUCUAUGGCUAGUAAAAGAGUUUAUAAACCAUAAAAAAGUUGGAAUACAGUAGGUUUAAAACCAAUAUAAAUAAUGAAUGAGUUCAAUACAGUACCUUGAAGUGGUGUUUUGCUUUCUUUCGCUAACGGAGCUCACGAGAUUUUCUGUUAAGUUUUGUGUUGUGAAGUUUUCAAGUUUUGGGUAAGGAUUUGAUGGAUUAUGGAACAAGGAGUGGCAAGAGCCUAAGCUUGGGGAUGCCCAAGGCACCCCAAGGUAAAUCUAAGUACACCAAAAAGCCAAAGCUUGGGGAUGCCCCGGAAGGCAUCCCCCCUUUCGUCUUCGUCCAUCGGUAACUUUACUUGGAGCUAUAUUUUUAUUCACCACAUGACAUGUGUUUUGCUUGGAGCAUCUUGUAUGAUUUGAGUCUUUGAUUUUAGUUUACCACAAUCAUCCUUGUUGUACACACCUUUUGAGAGAGACACACAUGAUUCGGAAUUUAUUAGAAUACUCUAUGUGCUUCACUUAUAUCUUUUGAGCUAUAUAGUUUUUGCUCUAGUACUUCACUUAUAUCUUUUAGAGCACGGUGGUGGCUUGUUUUAUAGAAAAUAUUGUUCUCUCAUGCUUCACUUAUAUUAUUUUGAGAGUCCUACAGAACAGCAUGGUAAUUUGCUUUAAUUGAGAAAUUAGUCCUAAUAUGAUAGGCAUCCAAGAUUAGUAAAAAACUUUCUUAUAAGUGCGUUGAAUACUAAGAGAAGUUUGAUGCUUGAUAAUUGUUUUGAGAUAUGAAGAUGGUGAUAUUAGAGUCAUGCUAGUUGAGUAGUUGUGAAUUUGAGAAAUACUUGUGUUAAAGUUUGUAAUUCCCGUAGCAUGCACGUAUGGUGAACCGUUAUGUGAUGAAGUCGGAGCAUGAUUUAUUUAUUGAUUGUCUUCCUUAUGAGUGGCGGUCGGGGACGAGCGAUGGUCCUUUCCUACCAAUCUAUCCCUCUAGGAGCAUGCGCGUAAUACUUUGUUUCGAUAACUAAUAGAUCUUUGCAAUAAGUAUAUGAGUUCUUUAUGACUAAAGUUGAGUCCACGAUUAUACGCACUCUCUCCCUUCCACCAUUGCUAGCCUCUCUAAUACCGCGCACCUUUUCGACGCUAUCAUACACCCAUCAUAUACCUUCCUCAAAACAGCCACCAUACCUACAUAUCAUGGCAUUUCCAUAGCCAUUCCGAGAUAUAUUGCCAUGCAACUUACCACCGUUCCGUUUACUAUGACACGCUCCAUCAUUGUCAUACUGCUUUGCAUGAUCAUGUAGUUGAUAUCGUAUUUGUGGCAAAGCCACCGUUCAUAAUUUUCAUGCAUGCCACUCUUGAUUCAUUGCAUAUCCGGUACACCGCCGGAGGCAUUCACAUAGAGUCAUAUUUUUGUUCUAAGUAUUGAGUUGUAAUUCUUGAGUUGUAAGUAAAUAAAAGUGUGAUGAUCAUCAUUAUUAGAGCAUUGCCCCAAGUGAGGAAAGUAUGAUGGAGGCUAUGAUUCCCCCAUAAGUCGGGAUGAGACUCCGGACGAAAAAAGAAGAAAAAAAGAGGCCAUAAAAAAAGAAAAAAAAAGGCCCAACUAAAAAAAUGAAUAAGAGAAAAGAGAGAAGGGACAAUGCUACUAUCUUUUUUCCACACUUGUGCUUCGAAGUAGCACCAUGAUCUUUAUGAUAGAGAGUCUCCUAUGUUGUCACUUUCAUAUACUAGUGGGAAUUUUUCAUUAUAGAACUUGGCUUGUAUAUUCCAAUGAUGGGCUUCCUCAAAUUGCCCGAGGUCUUCGUGAGCAAGCAAGUUGGAUGCACACCCACUUAGUUUUCAUUAUUGAGCUUUCAUACACUUAUAGCUCUAGUGCAUCCGUUGCAUGGCAAUCCCUACUCACUCAUAUUAAUAUUUAUUAAUGGGCAUCUCCAUAGCCCGUUGAUACGCCUAGUUGAUGUGAGACUAUCUUCUCCUUUUUUGUCUUCUCCACAACCACCAUUCUAUUCCACAUAUAGUACUAUGUCCAUGGCUCACGCUCAUGUAUUGCGUGAAGAUUGAAAAGGUUUGAGAACACCAAAAGUAUGAAACAAUUGCUUGGCUUGUCAUCGGGGUUGUGCAUGAUUUAAAUAUUUUAUGUGGUGAAGAUAGAGCAUAGCCAGACUAUAUGAUUUUGUAGGGAUAACUUUCUUUGGCCAUGUUAUUUUGAGAAGACAUGAUUGCUUUAUUAGUAUGCUUGAAGUAUUAUUACUUUAUAUCAAUAUUAAACUUUUAUCUUGAAUCUUUCAGAUCUGAAUAUUCAUACCACAAAUAAGAGAAUUACAUUGAAAAUUAUGCCAAGUAGCAUUCCACAUCAAAAAUUAUGUUUUUAUCAUUUACCUACUCGAGGACGAGCAGGAAUUAAGCUUGGGGAUGCUUGAUACGUCUCCAACGUAUCUAUAAUUUUUUAUUGUUCCAUGCUAUAUUAUAUUCUGUUUUGGAUGUUUAAUGGGCUUUAUUAUACACUUUUAUAUUAUUUUUGGGACUAACCUAUUAACCGGAGGCCCAGCCCGAAUUGCUGUUUUUUUGCAUAUUUCAGUGUUUCGAAGGAAAGGAAUAUCAUAUGGAGUCCAAACGGAAUGAAACCUUCGAGAAACGUGAUUUUCUUAACAAACGUAAUCCAGAGAACUUGGAGUGGACGUCAAGCAACCGACGAGAAAGCCAUGAGGCAGGGGGCGCGCCUACCCCCCUGGGCGCGCCCUCCACCCUCGUGGGCCCCUCGUGGCUCCACCGACCUACUUCUUCCUCCUAUAUAUACCUACGUACCCCAAAACCAUCAGAGACGGAGCCAAAACCCUAUUUCCACCGCCGCAACCUUCUGUACCUGUGAGAUCCCAUCUUGGGGCCUUUUUCGGCGCUCCACCGGAGGGGGCAUCGAUCAUGGAGGGCUUCUACAUCAACAUCAUAGCCUCUCCGAUGAUGUGUGAGUAGUUUACCUCAGACCUUUGGGUCCAUAGUUAUUAGCUAGAUGGCUUCUAAUCUCUUUUUGGAUCUCAAUACAAAGUUCUCCUCGAUUCUCUUGGAGAUCUAUUUGAUGUAACUCUUCUUUUUGCGGUGUGUUUGUCGAGAUCCGAUGAAUUGUGGGUUUAUGAUCAAGAUUAUCUAUGAACAAUAUUUGAAUCUCCUCUGAAUUCUUUUAAGUAUGAUUGGUUAUCUUUGCAAGUCUCUUUGAAUUAUCAGUUUGGUUUGGCCUACUAAAUUGAUCUUUCUUGCAAUGGGAGAAGUGCUUAGCUUUGGGUUCAAUCUUGCGGUGCUCGAUCCCAGUGACAGUAGGGGAAACGACACGUAUUGUAUUGUUGCCAUCGAGGAUAGAAAGAUGGGGUUUAUAUCAUAUUCCAUGAGUUUAUCCCUCUACAUCAUGUCAUCUUGCUUAAAGCGUUACUCUGUUCUUAUGAACUUAAUACUCGAGAUGCAUGCUGGAUAGCGGUCGAUGUGUGGAGUAAUAGUAGUAGAUGCAGGCAGGAGUCGGUCUACUUGUCACGGACGUGAUGCCUAUAUACAUGAUCAUACCUAGAUAUUUUUAUAACUAUGCUCAAUUCUAUCAAUUGCUCGACAGUAAUUCAUUUACCCACCGUAAUACUUAUGCUAUCUUGAGAGAAGCCACUAGUGAAACUUAUGGCCCCCGGGUCUAUUUUCCAUCAUAUUAAUCUCCCGACAACAAGCUAUUUCUGGCGUCGUUUAUUUUGCUUUCUUUACUUUUAGUAUUUACCAUAAAAAUACCAAAAAUAUUAUCAUAUCAUCUCUAUUAGAUCUCACUCUCGUAAGUGACCAUGAAGGGAUUGACAACCCUUUAUCGCGUUGGUUGCGAGGUUCUUAUUUGUUUGUGUAGCUGCGUGGGACUCGAGCGUGGUCUCCUACUGGAUUGAUACCUUGGUUCUCAAAAACUGAGGGAAAUACUUACGCUACUUUACUGCAUCACGCUUUCCUCUUCAACGGAAAACCAACGCAGUGCUCAAGAGGUAGCACCAAGCCAGCGACAAAACAUGGGCCGGCCCACUUCCAGAUAUACACAUGGUUCCCUAAACUGUUUUUUUUCUUUUUUUUGAUUCUUUUCUGGUUUUUUCGGCUUUCUAUUAUUUUUUCUUUUUCUUUUCUCAUUUUUCUUUUUUGUUUUUUCUGUUUCUAUUUCUGUUUCUUUUUAUCUUUUUUUUUAAAGUUUAUUUUCCUUUUUCAAAAAGUGUACAGAAUUUUAAAAAAUGAUUACAUUUUUUAAAUUUUUGUUAAAAAUAUAUGAAAAUGUUUCUUAUUUUCAAAUUUUGUUUCAAAUGUACAAAAUUCGAAAAAGAUGAGAAUCUCAAUAAUUGUUCUCAUUUUCAAAAAAAAUUCAGAAAUUUCAAAAAAUGUUAUAAUUCAAUAUAUUUUUUCGUUUUUUCACAAAUUGUUUGGAAUCUUAAUUUUGUUCUGAAAAUUUGUUCGGAAUGUUAAUUUUUGUUCUCAUUUUUUUUCAAAUUUUGUUCAUGUUGUUCGUGUUUUCAAAAUUGUUCAGAAUGUUAAUUUUGUUCUCAUUGUUGUUUGUGUUUAAAAACUGUUCAGAAUCUUAUUUUUGUUCUGAAAAUUUGUUCAGAAUGUUAAUUUUUGUUCUCAUUUUUUCGAAUUUUGUUCAUGUUCUUCGUGUUUUCAAAAGUUUGGAGUUCAAAAUUUGUUUGAAAUGUUAAUUUUUGUUCUCAUUUUUACAAAUUUUGUUCAUUUUUACUGAAAAUGUUCCUUUUUUCAAAUUUUGUUCAUAAAUUUCGAAAUUUGUUCUCUCGUUUCAAAAAGUGUUCGGUAAUUCAAAAACUGUUCACCUUUUUAAAUUAUGUUCAAACACCAAAAACUACUUGUUUCGGAAAAAGUUCACAUUUGUUUUUAAAAAAUCGGUAAUUUUUAAAAAUGUUCACAUGUUUAAACUUUGUCAUAAAUUAAAAAAUGUAUGGGAAUUACCGCAGUGGCUAUGGACUGGCUUCCAUGGCGUGGGGAGAAGGGAUCGAUCAGUUGCCCACAAAUUUCAUUUUUAUAGAAUUUAGCGAACUUGUUUUAUUUUCACGGCUGCCUAUAGUUCUUUAAGAGUCGCGCUGCAAUUCUUGUAGAGUAGUGCGCGUGUCGCAGUGGCUUGCGCAUCGCGGGCAUCUUUAGAAGGUAGCGAGUUGGAUUCCUAGCGCACCCGUUUUUUGCGAUUUUUCAUUCAGCCAAGGGCAGCGAAAGGGCCAGCCCAGGUGACCCGUCCUCUGUGCGAACCUGCAACAUUUUGCCGCAAUAAGUGGCAUAUAGGAGGUCCCCUUCUAGUCAGCGCUCGUGGUGCUGGUUGGCCACACUAGCGCUCACGCGACCCUUCACCUAGGCCGGCCCAAUAGCGGGCAUGUUCGCUCUCGCUCGGCUGGACCGUUGACCGCGACGAUGACCAUUGACCAUGAGCCCUCACCGUUGGCUUAUGAAAAAAGUCCAUGGAAUUGAAAAAAAAUCAUAGAUCGAAAAAUUGUUUAAGAGUUUGAAAAAAGUUCAUCAAUUUGAAAAUAAUGUUCACAAAUCAGGAUUUUUUUAAGAAUUUUGGAAAAUAUUCAAGAAUUUGACAAGAGUUCAUGGAUUUGAUAAAGAGCUCACGCAUUUGAAAAAGGUUCUUAUAUUGUAAAAAUCUUCUCAAAUUUUUUUUUUAGGAUUUGAAAAGGUUAACAUUUUUUUAAGUUCACAAUUUUGAAAAGGUUAACACAUUUGAAAAGCUUUCAUGAUUCUUUUUUAAAGAUUACGAAUUUGAAAAUAUAUGUGGAUUUGAAAAUAUGUUCACAAAAAAAUAAGAACAUAGAAAUAAAAAACGAAAAAUGAAAAUAAAUAAAUGAAGAAAACCCAGUAGAAUUGCUUCCCAAAGGCGAUGUCCAAGAUGUUGCGCCCGUUGAUCCACCUGUCGUGCCAUAAUUUGACCCAACUAUUGCCUCGCCCAGCUGAGCAAUCCGUUGGCGUAAAAAAUAUGAGCCCGAGCCUCAUGUAUGAAUUUUAAUUAUAUGGACCAUCUUUUCUGUUGUACGAACAACUGUUACUUGCAUAAGUGAAAUAUAUAUGAAUCAAAGCAUUUGUGUUACGGUCCAUGGCCCUCAGGCCCCAGCAGCAGAAGACCAGGAUGACAGCGCCACGACCAAGGCGACUGGGCUGGAACGACCGCGUCGCCAGGCCCAGCCCAACAAGCGCUAUACAGGCCCAGAAUGGAACACCAGCAAGUAGGGUUAAGUACCGCGCCCUCUCCCUGGGUGCGGGGUGUGGAGAAACUAGACACUGGACGGCGGCGGCUCCUCCUCUCAUCCCCAUUUCCUUCCUCUAGAACCCUAAUUCUGCUACUCAAUCAUGUAUCCGUGGUGAAUUCGAGUGAAGUGAUAGCGGGGCCAUAACAAUUGGUACUCAGGGCCACUAGAUCCAGCCAAUUUUUUUUCUCUCCACCCUCCCCAAUCUGGUGGGGAGAUUUCCAUCCAUCAUCCAGACAAGAAGGGGCAAGGCCACGACGAUGGAGGAGCACACCAAGGCGAUCGCGGAUCUGACCGCGGCAAUCACGACCGUCACCACCAAGAUCGAGGACAUCCACCCCGUCGUCCAAGAGCUGCAAGGAUGGCGGCCCCAGAUCGAGCAGUCCAUGGAGGAGAUCCGAUCGGAGGUGGGUCACUUGCGGACUAAGAUCGACAAGUCCACGCUCCCAUCGCCGGUGGACAAGGCCACGACGACCGCUCCACCACCUCCCUUUCCGCGGCUCAGCGAGCUUCCGCCGCUACUCCCUCACAUCGCGGAAGGAUCGCGGCCCCGAUUACCACCAUCGACGGCCGACGCACCUCAUCUGCGCGCCGUCGACAUCUCAGCUCGUGGUGACACCAGUCAUGGGCCCGAUGGCCACGGCGUUUUCACUGAUCUUCGGGGGAAAUCGUCAGGGGAGAUCCGCACCCCGCGAUUACCUCCGGCCACUGGUACGUACGACUUCUAUCACCAUGGCGAGCAGUCAUUUGCUGGGAUCGUGGGUACUUUAGAUUGCCACCACCGCCGCGGUUUGAUUUUCCAUUGUUCGAUGGAUCCAAUCCGCGUGCCUGGCGUCUCAAAUGUGAGGCAUACUUUCGGGUGUGCACCUUGAGUGCGGACACAUGGGUUAGUUGUGCUGCGAUGUAUUUCACCGACAGCGCACUGUCAUGGCUGCAGUCGUCGCAAGCCCAUUUUCAUUACCAGGAGUGGGGGGAGUUUGCAUCUGUUAUUUGUGCUUAGUUUGGUAGGGAAGAGUUUCAGAAUUUGUUGCGCCAGUUCAAUCGCUUGCGACAAAUGGGCACUGUCACAGAAUACACAGAGAAAUUCACUCAGUUGAUGCACAACUUAUUAGCUCAUCAUAGCUCUUGGGAUCCUGCAUUUUUUGUCACCCAAUUCAUGGAUGGAUUGCAACGUGAUAUACGUGCUGCAGUUGUUUUACAUCGACCCCAAACGCUGGAUACUGUUGUGGAUCUCGCGUGUUUGCAGGAAGAAGUGGUGGAGGCUCUUCGGCGGGACGAGAGGCGCCACCCCGCGCUGCCGCCAAGCUCUCAAGGGGGCCGGGCAAUCCCUCGGAUGGCCCUGCCCUUACCCCCACCACCAUUAGCAACCGCUCGGCAAGGGGGUACUGCAUCAGAGUCACGCCCACCGGAGACGAAUCGAACUCCACCGAACGACGACAAGCUGGCGACCCUUCGGGCCUACCGUCGCGCCAAAGGGCUCUGUUUCACUUGCGGCGAACGCUGGAGCCGCGAGCAUCGUUGCGCGCCAACUGUGCAACUUCAUGUAGUGGAAGAGCUGAUCGAGAUGUUGCAAGGGCCAGUGCAACCGACACCAUCCACAGAGUCCACACCAAGUGAAGCUGACUGUUGCGUGCUCUCGCAAGCAGCAGUAGACGGUGCUGAAGCGCCAACGACCAUGCGCUUACAUGGCUGGGUGCAAGGCAAGGAGGUCCUCAUGCUUGUGGACUCCGGUUCAUCCCACAGCUUCGUGAGCACUGCUCUGGCCACUCAUCUCCAAGGAGUUAAGCCCGCUCAACGUGCUCUAUCUGUGCGGGUGGCAAAUGGCGGUAUUCUGCAGUCUGACCAAGAGAUCCUAGCGUGCAAGUGGAAUUCGCAGGGGGUCGAUUUCACCACCAAUCUCAGGGUUCUUCCACUGGGCAGUUAUGAUGUAAUUCUUGGAAUUGACUGGCUGGCUCACCAUAGCCCGAUGAAGGUACACUGGCUGGAGAAGACCAUGGUGUUUCAGCAUGAUGGACGAGAAGUGCAACUCUGUGGGGCUCGAGAAGAUGUCACCCAGUGUCAAAUGAUCUCGGGAGCGGAACUACACGAACUACUGCAACAGACAGCGGUGGCCAGAGUGGUCAAAUUAUGUACCGUGGCAGAAGACACGAACGAUCCUCCAAUUCCUCCGGAGGUGGCUGAACUCUUGGAACAGUAUGCCGCACUGUUCGAGGAACCCAAAGGUCUGCCACCACAACGCUCGUUUGAUCAUUCCAUUCCCUUGGUGCCGGGAGCUCGACCAGUCAACAUACGACCCUAUCGGCACAGCCCGGCCCAGAAAGAUGAGGUGGAACGGCAAGUCACUGAGAUGCUAGCUCAAGGAAUAAUUCAGCCAAGCUCCAGCCCUUUUGCGUCACCGGUCCUAUUGGUUCAGAAGAAGGACUUGACUUGGCGAUUCUGCAUUGAUUACCGGCACCUCAACGCAAUCACAAUCAAGAAUAGGUUUCCCUUACCAGUGAUUGAGGAACUUCUCGAUGAGCUGGCAGGGUCGUGCUAGUUCACCACCCUCGACUUGCGCUCUGGCUAUCAUCAGAUUCGCAUGAAACCAGAAGAUGCCCACAAAACAGCCUUCAAAACACAUCAUGGUCAUUUCGAGUUCAAGGUGCUGUCAUACGGCUUGACGGGAGGGCCAGCUACUUUUCAGGGCGGGAUGCACACGGUACUGUCACCCUUACUGCGCCAUGGAGUCCUCGUGUUCAUCGAUGAUAUCUUAGUGCACAGCAAAGACAAGAAGACACAUGUGACCCUGCUACGAAAAGUGUUCCAGCGUCUCCAAGAGCAUCAGUUCAAGCUCAAGCGAAGCAAAUGCUUCUUUGCUCGCCCCAGGCUCUUAUACCUGGGACAUGAAAUCAGCGGGGAAGGUGUGCGGACGGAUAACAGAAACAUCAGCGCGGUUCAGACUUGGCCAGUACCCACGUGUGUGAAAGAGGUGCACGGUUUCUUGGGCCUUGCGGGCUAUUAUCGGAGGUUCGUCCGAGGAUUUGCAAUCAUCAGUCGCCCCCUCACAGAUCUCUUGAAGAAGAAUGUGGUGUUCAGAUGGACUCAACUCGAAGAGGCCUCAUUCAGAGAACUCCAACAGGCAUUGGUCACAUCCCCGGUGCUCGCCCUGCCGGAUUUCACUAAAACAUUCGAGCUGGAAACUGAUGCUUGCGACCAAGGAAUUGGCGCAGUCCUCUCACAGGAGAAGCACCCGAUUGGUUUCCUCAGUCGCGCAUUGGGACCGCGCAAUCGCAUGCUCUCCACCUAUGAAAAGGAAGUCCUGGCCAUUCUCUUGGCGGUAGAACACUGGCGUGCGUAUCUCCAGAAUGACGAAUUCAUCGUACACACAGACCAACGCAGUCUCAUUCACUUGGAGGACCAGCGACUAGCGACACCAUGGCAGCAGAAGAUCAUGGCCAAGCUGCUCGGGCUCCGCUACCGCAUCGUCUACAAAAAAGGAGUGGAUAACCGUGCCGCUGAUGCCUUAUCGCGCCGGCCACCUGUCCCUCAAGGGGACCUCGCCACUAUUACAUCAGCAGUGGCCUGGCUGGAGGAGGUGCAAAAAGGUUAUGCUGAGGACCCGGCAGCACAACGUUUGCUCGCCCGGCUAGCCACAGCGCCAGGAGAGCAGGAUGGUUUUCAACUCAGCCAGGGGGUUAUCAAGCAGCACGUCCGAGUUUGGUUGGGCGACAAUGUGGCGUUACAAAAGCAGAUUCUCGAGGCUCUCCACACCGGAGCGAUUGGUGGUCACUCAGGGUUCAACGCCACAUACCGCAGAGUGCGGCGACUGUUUACAUGGCCGGGACUCAAGCACCACAUCAAGCUCUUCGUGGACGCAUGCCAGACCUGCAAACAAGCGAAGCCUGAGCGAGUUUGAUACCCAGGUCUCCUCGAGCCACUGCCGGUCCCCACUCAAGCUUGGCAGAUGGUGUCAUUGGACUUCGUCGAUGGGUUGCCUCGUUCAUCAGGAUACAACUCCAUUCUAGUGGUCGUCGAUAAAUUUUCACGGUACGCCCAUUUCGUCGCCAUGUCACAUCCAUUCACAGCCUUCCAAGUUGCUCAAGCUUUCGUGGCUAACAUCUACAAAUUGCAUGGGCUGCCGGAGUCGAUCGUAUCGGAUCGCGACCCGAUCUUCACUAGCGUCUUAUGGAAGGAGCUGUUCCGGUUAACUCAUACCAAGCUGCGCAUGAGUACCGCACGACACCCGCAGACGGACGGGCAGACAGAGCGCGUGAAUCAAUGCAUGGAGACCUUCCUGCGCUGCUUCGUCAAUGCUACGCCAACCAAGUGGUACACCUGGCUGCCUCUCGCGGAAUUCUGGUACAAAACCUCGCCGCACUCCGCGCUGGGCACCACUCCCUUCGAGGUCCUCUAUGGACAUGCGCCAAGAUACUUCGGCAUCAUCGACCCCGUGGCGUGCGCGUCACCGGACCUGGCGGACUGGCUCCAAGACAGGGCGCAAAUGGUAGCGCUCAUUCGGCAACACCUGCUGCGCGCACGCCAGCAAAUGAAGGACUCGGCGGACAAGCGUCGCUCAGAUCGCACGUUCGCGGUGGACGAUUGGGUCUUCCUUAAGCUCCAACCGUAUGUCCAGCGUUCGGUUGCGACAAGGAGCAACCAGAAGCUAUCUUUCCGGUACUUCGGGCCGUACAAGGUGUUGCAGCGCAUUGGUGCGGUGGCAUACAAGCUCCAGCUUCCACCGACCAGCACUGUGCAUCCGGUCUUCCACGUCUCGCAGCUGCGUCAAGCCCUUCCACCAACGGAGCAAGUCCACCAGCAGCAGCAGCGACAAGCCCCGUUCCCGAGGAGGUUCUGGAUAGUAGAAUGGUGCAGCGAGGCAAUUCCGGAGUCCCACAGGUCCUUGUUCGCUGGACGGACCAACCGGCGGAAUUUGCAACUUGGGAGGACCGCAUCGAGCUACAGCAACAUUUCCUGAAUGCUCCAGCUUGGGGACAAGCUAUGUCUGAAGGAGGGAGGGAUGUUACGGCCCAUGGCCCUCAGGCCCCAGCAGCAGAAGACCAGGAUGACACCGCCACGACCAAGGCGACUGGGCUGGAACGACCGCGUCGCCAGGCCCAGCCCAACAAGCGCUAUACAGGCCCAGAAUGGAACACCAGCAAGUAGGGUUAAGUACCGCGCCCUCUCCCUGGGUGCGGGGUGUGGAGAAACUAGACACUGGACGGCGGCGGCUCCUCCUCUCAUCCCCAUUUCCUUCCUCUAGAACCCUAAUUCUGCUACUCAAUCCUGUAUCCCGUGGUGAAUUCGAGUGAAGUGAUAGCGGGGCCAUAACAAUUUGGAAGCAGCAAGGAAUCACCUAACUUAUUCGCGAAAAAGUAAUUACCUAACUAACAUGACAUGGCUUCAGAAGUUGGCAACUUCCUCUUUGCUGGAAGUCUCAUAAUGCCAUCUUCCUCUUGGCUGGAAGUCCAAGCAAGCUNNNNNNNNNNNNNNNNNNNNNNNNNNNNNNNNNNNNNNNNNNNNNNNNNNNNNNNNNNNNNNNNNNNNNNNNNNNNNNNNNNNNNNNNNNNNNNNNNNNNNNNNNNNNNNNNNNNNNNNNNNNNNNNNNNNNNNNNNNNNNNNNNNNNNNNNNNNNNNNNNNNNNNNNNNNNNNNNNNNNNNNNNNNNNNNNNNNNNNNNNNNNNNNNNNNNNNNNNNNNNNNNNNNNNNNNNNNNNNNNNNNNNNNNNNNNNNNNNNNNNNNNNNNNNNNNNNNNNNNNNNNNNNNNNNNNNNNNNNNNNNNNNNNNNNNNNNNNNNNNNNNNNNNNNNNNNNNNNNNNNNNNNNNNNNNNNNNNNNNNNNNNNNNNNNNNNNNNNNNNNNNNNNNNNNNNNNNNNNNNNNNNNNNNNNNNNNNNNNNNNNNNNNNAGCUUGCUUGGACUUCCAGCCAAGAGGAAGAUGGCAUUAUGAGACUUCCAGCAAAGAGGAAGUUGCCAACUUCUGAAGCCAUGUCAUGUUAGUUAGGUAAUUACUUUUUCGCGAAUAAGUUAGGUGAUUCCUUGCUGCUUCCAAAUUGUUAUGGCCCCGCUAUCACUUCACUCGAAUUCACCACGGGAUACAGGAUUGAGUAGCAGAAUUAGGGUUCUAGAGGAAGGAAAUGGGGAUGAGAGGAGGAGCCGCCGCCGUCCAGUGUCUAGUUUCUCCACACCCCGCACCCAGGGAGAGGGCGCGGUACUUAACCCUACUUGCCGGUGUUCCAUUCUGGGCCUGUAUAGCGCUUGUUGGGCUGGGCCUGGCGACGCGGUCGUUCCAGCCCAGUCGCCUUGGUCGUGGCGGUGUCAUCCUGGUCUUCUGCUGCUGGGGCCUGAGGGCCAUGGGCCGUAACAUCCCUCCCUCCUUCAGACACAGCUUGUCCCCAAGCUGGAGCAUUCGGGAAAUGUUGCUGUAGCUCGAUGCGGUCCUCCCAAGUUGCAAAUUCCGCUGGUUGGUCCGUCCAGCGAACAAGGACCUGUGGGACUCCGGAAUUGCAAAUGGUCUUUCCAGGGACCUUCUAGAAAUCAUGAAUAUUUUUUACAGAUACGUGAACAGUUUUUUUUAAUUGACAAACAUUCUUUAGAAAUCAUGAAGAUUUUUUAAACUAACGAACGUUUUUUGAAAUUGUGGACAUUUUUAAAAUCAUGAACAUCUUUAGAAUUUUUACAAAUUGUCAAACAUUUUUUAAUUUUCAUUUUAGACUUUCUGAAACUCACAAACAUGUUUUGAAUCUGCCUACAUUUUUCACAUUCGUGAUAGUUUUUCAAACUCUGGAACAUUUUAUAAUUCUCGAACAUCUAACAAAAUCGUGAACAUUUUUUGAAUUUGCAAACUUUUUUUUUCAAAUUCAAGAACGUUUUUCAUGUUCUUUUUUUAUUUUCUUUGUUUUUUCUUCCUGAUUUUUUUCUUUCUUUAUUUUUAUAUUUUUAUAUUUUUUCUUUUCCUUUCUCAUUUUUUCAUACGUGUUUUUAUUUUCUUUUUAUUUAUUUUCACAUUUAUUUUAUUUUUCCUCUUCCCUUUUCUGUUUCAUCUUACGAACAUGUUUCCAAUUCGUGUACAUUGUCCGCUAACAUUUUUUGAUAUCCUGAUUUAAAAAAAAAAUCAGGAACGUUUUCUUACAAAUUUGCGGCAAUUUUUGAAAUUGUUAAUUUGGGGAGAAUCAGGAACGUUUUCUUACAAAUUUGCGGCAAUUUUUGAAAUUGUUAAUUUGGGGAGGUCCGGCGCCACUAUAAAAGGAGGAGGACGACUACCUGGACUCUCAACUGCGUGUUACAGAUAUGAUAAAGUCGUCGCAUGCGAUCCGAGAAGUUGAGGGUCUUACCUGGACUCUUAACUGCUCAACAGACAAUGCAAUGGUCAUUUUCAAAGAGUUGACGGACUCAAGACUAUUCUCCCAGUUGGUGAUCACACAUUGCCGGUUUUUAAAUUUUGUUUCAUAAAUUUACUCUAGACACAUUUGAGGUUGUAGCAUUUUGUUUGUUGCAUAUGUUGCUCACACAUAUGGAUAUAUAUACAUGUGUUUAUGAAAUAGGAUGGAAUGCAAUUAUGAGAUAAAUGUGGAUGUGUGCAUUAUGAAAACACAUUGAAUGUGUAUUUUGAAUACCGCUGAAACUGAAAAAGAAAACCACCCUCAAACACGAAAUACAUGUCGUUCUGCUUAAGAAACCACAUGUAAUGUUAGUAUAUAGGAGGUGGUUUCAAAUAAGAAGCCACUUCUGAUGUUCCAAGCAUGUGAGGCAUUUCUCUCAAUGCACCGCUUACAGUGAUAUAUCAUUGCAUGCAGUUAGAUAUCCGUCUCCAAUUCUAGGCACAUUAGCGACAACGGCUUAUAGGCGGACGGGAAACCGCCUCAGGCCCAUGUAGCGAAACCACCUUCAAUGCCCGUUUCACUAGUAUAGUCUGCAUAUGUUUAUUUAUGUUUUCUAUAAUAGAAUAACAGUAGGAAAUUUCCUACUCUUUCAGUUAAAAGAAGCAUAACUCAUCACUUUAUCAAUAUAUAAUUUGGAAGGAAAAAUUACAUGGAACAUACAUUGACCAGUGGCUGACCAGUGGCUACCCACGCACAUAACACUUGGGUGUCAAAUGAGCACCGGUGUACUAGAUUAUUCAAGCAAAUGAUCCUAGAAGCACACACCCCAACAUUUUGCAUGCUGGCGAGCAACGACCUUCCUCCAAAUAUCUCAUCAGAUGGAGAUGCUGUUGGGGAUGCCCCUGGCCGUGAGGCCCUCGGCCUUGCCCGUGUGGUCGGAGGUGUUGGGGUAGAGCAGCAUGUAGGGGAACUGGGCUGGUCCAUUGCGGUUCUUGAGCUGGGGGUUUCCGUUCAAGGCCACCACCUGGCUCUCGAUGCCCU